AAUUUUACCUCUUCGUUCCAAAUAUGUCUUGCAAUACAGUUCGGAUAAAGGGGCAGCACUGACAAGUCUGAUGAGCCUUAUCCAACCCCUUGUGGUGCUUGGGGUGUCUUUACUUCCUCCUGGGCCUGGGGUGCCUUAGGUACCUCUACCGCCUCCUGCACAUAGGGUACAUUUAGUGUAUGAGGUACCUCUUUUAUCUCGGAUGUCAGAACAACUGAAAUCUGUCACCUAUAGGAAGAUGGAGGCAAGGAUGCAUAAGUAGGUGACACCCGUCUCCUACGGGAAGAAGAAGGCGGAGAUACAUGAGCCCCAAAAGCUCACACCUCCACAUCAACCAGGCUAUAGGUAACAUGAGCCUGCAAAGGGUGAAUUUUUUUCCCUCUGCAUGUUGUGUAACCCUAUCCUACCUUAAUCAAUUUUUUCUAUCAGCAAUAAUCGAAGGCUUUUGAUGCUCAACAAACAUAAACGGAGAAAACGAAAAAACGCUUAUGUAAAAAAGCUGCAACGACAACGCGAUUCACAACUUCAACUUUCCGGAUUCACGUCUGGAUUGUGUUCAUCCUCAACUUCUUCUUCUUCUUCAGAUUAUGACGCGUCAAGUGAAGAGCAUGGAAUUGAAAUCAAGAAAACUCACCGGAUUGAAGCAUUGAUGCAACCAGGUAUGGAAUCUUAUCCUUCCCCCACUUCGACUUGCUUUCUUCUUUCAAAUUCCUCUGCGCUAUCGUGUACUCAUUGAUUUUGUGAUGAAUGGUUGUGAGAAAUGCGGCGAGGUUGGGAUUCUCUGAGAGUUGCGGAGAGAGAUUGAGAGUGGAGUGUUUGAUUUGUGCUGUAAUUUUUUCCGUGAAUUGUGACUGGAUGAAGAGUGAUGAACAAUGAUUUAUUGGACCCCUAUUCUGUUACGAAACUCACAUGAAGUUCAUCCUAAAAUUCACUUAUCAGUUAGAAAUUCAAUAGUUUGUUAGAGUUUAUAUGUUAGUUGGAAAUUAGUUUAGAAGUUAGUGAUUUUGGAUUUCAGUUAUUAGUUAGAAUGUUUUCAGUUUAAUCUCAGUUAUGAGGUGAAGAUGAGUUGUGCCACCUUUGUUAUUGAAAAGAAAUGUUUAGUUGGGAAAAAGUCAAUUUUUGUGAAAAAUGCUCAGACUGUUAGUUUGUUACUGCUGAAUGAUAUGCUUGGAUUGAAAUCAUGCUAUGGCUGCAACAUUCUGUUUUUGCCUAUUGCUAGUUAUUAGUUAAUUGUUGUUCUGUUAAUUGGAAAUGCAUUGCUAUGUUGGAUGAAACUCUGUAUGCAGUCAAAUCUAUUAGAAGUUUGUGUGGAUUAAAUUUCUAUUAGGCUCUGAUUCAAUUAAAUGAAAAUUAUGAAAUGUUGUUAUUCUAAUUGUUCUAUUAGUGAUCUACUGAUACGCUGUAAAAUAUUGUUAACUGCAAUGCUAGUGAUUGGUGUUAGUUUAUUAAUGUUAUGGAUGAAUGGUUAGAUAUGUGAAGUUAGUUGUAGUUGGAAGUUGUUAGUUUAAAAAUCUAAAGAGAGUGGUUAAUUGAAUAGUUCUGAAGGUUUUGUCGAUUUCAUUUUGCAAGUUAAGAACAGAAUGCAGGUGAACUGUUUGUGAAAGUUGCUGUUAGAAAAAAUGCAGGAUUAUAAUAAAUUGGUUUCGUUGUGAUUUUUUUAUGCAGGGCCUUUGUUAUGUAUGAUGCAGGUGAUUUAAUGUUGCUUUGUUAUGACUGUUAUGUAGGGUUGUGAUCAUUGGCUUGCUUGUGGAAAUUUGAUGCUUGGACAUGUUAAUCAUGGAGCUAUUGUGGGAUGUGAAUGCUAGGACAUGUUAUUGACGUAUUGUAUGGUGAUGUUGAAAAAUGACUUGGAACUUAGGAUUGUUAAUGGUUGGAUUUUUUUGUAAUUUUGAAAUUGACAUUGUAUUGGUUUGAAUGUAGGGUUAUGUAUUAUUAUGUUGUAAUUAGAAUUAAUGGCAUGGUUUGUGGUUUGUAAAUUUGAAUUGGUUUAGGUGUUGAAAUGUAAAAUGUGUAUGAAUUGAAUUCAAUUGAAUUGGAAUUGGCUUGUAAUUUGAAUCCGUUGAAUUGGAAUGUGAUUGUUAAGUUGUUUUGAAAUUUGAAUGGUUCAUGAUGUAAUGAGAGAUGAUUUGAGUUGAAAUUUGUACAUGGUUGGAAAUAGAAUGAUUGAAUGAAUGGUCAUGGCAUGGUUGAUGUAUGGGAAAUGUCUUGAAAUGUAUGAUUUGAAAUGGUUAUGUAAACAUUUUUUUGUAAUGGCAAAACCUAAAUUGUAAUUCAAAUUUGUGAUUCAGAGUUCAAACCAAACUCUUGUUUGUUUUUCUAUUUCAAUUAGCAUGUAUUCAUGUCUUAUAAUGGGCUUGAAAAAAAAAGAAAAGUUUUCAUACAUCAAAAUUUAAAUUCCUAACUAAGAUUGAUCUUAAUUGAAAUACUUAGAUCAAUGUAAAGAACAGAAGACAUUUGAAGAACCAUGGUUAGAAUGAUGAUAUCAUGUCCUAAAGCAAAGGUAAGUGACAAUAAAAAAUGAAAUGGAAAAUAAAAUGGAGGAACAUGUGGAGUGUAAAGCAAGCUUAAGACAAUCAAGAAUUGACCUGUUGGCUGUGGUCAACUGGUUAACCAAAAGUCAACUUGGGCCAAAAAUGUAAUUUGGUACACCAUGCAAUGCAAAUGAUCAUGCUAUUGGAUGAAUGUUGCAAUAUGACUACCAUGUAUUGAACGAGCCAUGAGCCUAAAUGCAAAUAAUAAACUUGGAUAUAUGUACUGUGAAUGCACCAAAUGCAAUGAAUCCACAUGAAUAACAUGAGGCCUAGAACCAACCGGAUCAACAAGCACACAUACAUGAUACAAUCCAUAAAUGAUCAUAUGGUUUAACCCCAUGGAUUAAGGUUAUAAUUAGGUUAAAAUCAAGAUGCAGAGCAACAUUUAAGGGCCUCAGACCAAAGAGCAAGACUUUAACACAAGUGGUCAAAUAAUGACAUGAACCAAAACUAAGGUUUCCAAUACCUUAAUGCAAGUCACAAGAUUCAUGAACCUCCUAGAUCAAGAACUAGGGUUUGAUGUGGAAUGAACUCCAAGAUGCAACCUUAAAGGCCUCAAGUAUCUGGCAACUAGGGUUUUGAUUAAUCACAAAUCCAACAAUUAACCAAUUAUGGUACUUAAGUAUCUAUCAUCCAUGAUUAGGGUUUAAAACAAAGCACCAAGCUCCUUAAAUAAAUCUCAAACCAUGAGCCCACAAUUAGGGUUUUAAGGAUCAAAAGGUCCAUCAAGGACAAGAGCUAAGCAAACUAGGGUUUAGGCAUGAAUGAAAGAUCAAGAUGCAAUCCCAUAAGGUCAAGUGAACCAAAUCUUGUUAUUCAUAAGCUUUGAAUUUAUGAUGUUUGUGAGGAUGCAUUAAUGUGAAUACAUGAUGCACAUGAAUGAGUGCAGAUAAAUCUUAAUUCCAAUGUUGGAUAAAAUAUGAAAAGGGGGGGCGGGGGGGGGGGGGGGAGGGGGGAAUUUGGGGUACGAUGGCUUCUUUGAAUCUUUUAGUUUGAGAGGAUUUCUCAGAUCCCCCAACAGAUUUUAUAGCCACAAUUUUAACUUGCUUUUCAGGCUCAUUUCCAUUUCGUGACUUUGGAGAUUGCUAACAAGACCUUCAAGACUUAAAGAGUUUAAAUCUUUAGCCUCUUGAAUAACAUUCGCUUCAGGUCUUUAUUUGACAUGAAGACUCCUAAUAAUCUUCUUGACAUGAUCUACAGUGGUAUAGCUCUUGUUCAAGACCUGAAGUCCAGACACAAGAACUUGAAAUCUUGAAAACAUAUAUUCAAUAUUCUCAUCAUUUUUCAUUCUGAACCGCUCAUAUUGCUGAACCAAAAGAUUAACUUUAGCUUCUUGAAUUUGUUAAUUACCUUCAUAAGUAGAAAAUAAAGAUUCAAAGAUAGUCUUAGCAGUAGACUUGUCAAUAAUAUUUAUAUACUCAGAAUGAGGUAAUGCAUCAACAAGAAUGUCUCUCACUCUAUGAUGUUUUCUAUAAAUCUUUUUCUAAUCAGGAGUGAGAUACUUUCUGCCAGAAACCACUCCAACACAAUUUACAUAAAAGUCAAUGCCAUCUUCCAAGAUAUCUCAUAACUCAUCAUCCAGACCAACGUUGUGAGUGUAUAUCUUGCUCUUCCAUCAUUCAAAUUCAGUAGAGUCACCAUCGAAUAUUAGUGGUCUAGCAGUAUAGUUGUUUUGACCAGAUGUACUUUGAUCAUGGUUGCUAUUACCACGAGGAGAACCUCCAACAAAGUUAGUUACUUCAGGGCUAGUUGCUCAAGUAUACAGACAAGAGACUUCCUUGCUCAAGCACGCAAGCAAGAAACCUCAUCUACUUUAAACAAAUAGUUUAGUAUAAAUGGUAACCACUAUACUUAGAUACACAAUAAGAAGUACAACAGUUGUGCAACAACCACAAAGAUUUUUAACCUCUUAAGAUUUUUAAGAUAUAUAAAGAUAAGAAAUCUUAACAUAUUAUGUAAUAACAAUUACAAAUGAAAUUUCAGAGUUAUGCUCUAGAUAUUGUAUUGUGUUGUUGUAACCUUCCUUCAAGUCUUCAGCUUCCUUUUAUAGAGGUAGAGAAAGAGUCGCUAGAGGUUUGAACAUAAGAGAGCAAAAUUAAUGAAGAAGCAUGUCAAGAGAGAUGUUGGAGAAUGUAUCUGAUUUGAAGCAUUGCCACUGAAUAAUGAUAUUGUUCACAGUACCUUUUGAAGUACUAAGUAUCUACCAAAAGUUAGAACAUACUAAAGAGGUGACUUCACCAUUCCUUAAGUCUUGCAAAACUAAAUCCUAGUUGACUCUAUCCAGAAAUUUGGGGUUUUGAUAAGAUAAGUUUGCUUUGGUACAGUGUAUGAAUCAGAUGCUCUUCAAGCCUUCAGAAUCUGAGUUGUCAUUAGAAGUUGGAUCAUGAGACCAGAGUCUGAACCAUUAGAGGCAGAUGCCUUCAGAGGCUGGGAAACUAAUUCAGAGUCAUCAGAUUCUGAUCAAUCAAACUUAUAUUGCUUUUCCACAUAUGUUUCAAUUAGGAUUAAUUCUAUACUUGUGAUCCUGCACACUUGGACAUAUGUUAGCAUACCCAUUUAUUCUUUAAAUACUUUGUUAUAAUCAAAACUUAAGAGAUAAGAACAAUCUUGUUCCAACAAUAUAUAUAUUCUUACGAAAGAUAAAUCAUGUUUGAGUCACUUUUUUUUUGUCAAAUAAUUUAGUGGUUGUAAUUCACUUUUUAAAGAUGAACAAGUGAGAUAUUGCGGAUUCAAACUCAUAUAUUUGUAUAUGAUAUUGUUGAACAAUCAUAAACUAAGAUGACUUGACGAAGUGAGUUUUUCAAUUUUAAAUUAUGUGAUUAUAAAUAUAGAUGGUGAUAAAAGAAAUUAUUGAGUAGGACAUAUUAAAUAAUGUAUUAAACUCAUUUCCCUAAUAAUGUAUACAAAAUUCCAAACAUAGACCUCGUGGAUGCCAUGUCCAAUGCCCCACUUUUUUAUAAAUGAAACCUUUGCUCCUUUGUUUAUUGAAAACGCAGAUCAUGUGUAGAAAUUUUAUAAAUAUACUAUUUGUCUGUGUAUUGACACCACAUCUUGUCUAAUCUCAUGUACAUAUAAUAAACAAACAGCAUGGGAUUGGAUGAAGUGUUGGGUAGUUUUCUUCAACAAAAAAGGUUAGAAAGUUUCAUGUUCUUGUUUGGAUUCUCUUUUACAAGAACUAAAACUAGAAAGUUUCAUAUUAUUUAUAGAGAGAAGAAGUAUACAUAGAUGAAAACAAUAGCAAAAAUGGUGUUACCAAGUGUUGGAGUACAAUUCACUCCAUUCUCAAUCCACAAAACACAUACAAGACUACCAACAACAACAACACAUUCUUUGGAAAAACGUUCACAUUCAAUUCAACCAUAAACAUGUCAUCGCUCUCAAAAAAAAAAACAGGAAACUUCCAAUUCUUCUAUUUGAUAUCAUGGACACCAUUGUUCGUGACCCUUUCUACAAAGACAUCCCUGCUUUCUUCGGUAUGUCUUUCGACGAAUUCAUAGUUUCCAAACACCCAACCGCAUGGAUUCAAUUCGAAAAGGGUCUCAUUGAUGAGGUAUAAAGCAACAAACUUUCAUUAAUUCACUGCAAAACUAAGAGACCCUCUUUCAUGUUAUGUAUAAAGGUCAAAACUUUUUGUAUCCCCGGAGUAAAUUGGUAUUUAGAAUUGUGGAUCAUGAAUCCAAAUUGCAAUUGGGGCAUUUGGGUAUGCAUGCAUUUGAGCUGAAUAUAUUGAUCGUCUCAUUUUCUUGCAGGUGGAGCUAGCAAGAAUUUUAUUUAAGGAUGGAAGGGAUUUUGAUUUAGAAGGUUCGUCUCACAUUUUGUUGCUUUAUGUGUGAUGAAUUGAACAUAUAAAAGUAUAGCUUAAUCUUAUGUAGAUAACUUGUUUGAUAUAAUGAAUCAAAAUUUUCAUUUCUUUAAGAAAUGCUGUUUGCAUAAUUUGAAAUUUUGGUUAGAAAAUGAAGCUGGUUUGAAAUUUUGAUUAUUAUAUGGUCUGGAUUAUUGCUCAGAAUUUCUGCAUUUCUGCUUCGGUAACACAGCAGCAGUAUCAAGAUUAGUAGUAUGCACUUUGCUGCACAAUUGUUGGUUCCACCCGGCCCCUUCACCCUGAUAGUCUUUUAUUUACCGUCUCAAUCAUCGGUUAAGUUGUACAAGACAAAUAGUUAGAAUGCUCAAGAUGGUGAUGGGCAGGCAGCUACGAGUUCUGGGCUUACUCUAAUUUCCUUUUAAAUGAUUGCUUUUUUGUUACCUGAGGUACCAAUACUCACUAUAAUUUUGCUGUAAAAACUCUUAAUAUCAUCUUUGAAUAAGCAUGAAUUUAGUUUCGAUGCUACUUUGUACUGUGUGUCAACAUUGUUCUCCAGGCUCCCUCUAUUUCGAUAUAGCUACUGACUUGCAUGUGUUCUACUUAGGGGUGGCAAUUUGAUCCAUUAACACAAAAUCCAUCCAAUCCAUCCAUCAAAAAAUCCAUCCAAUCCAUCCACUAAAUAAAAAUUAAGUUAAUGGAUUGAUCCAAUCCAUCCAUUUAUAAACAUGGAUUGAUCCAAUCCAUCCAACACAUUUUAAUGAUCCAAUGGAUUUUUUUAUUUAAUUUUAAAAAAAAAAUUUUUUCAAAUAUUAAAAAAAAAUCAUUUUUUUUUGAAAAAAAAAUAAUUUUUUUUGAAAAAAAAAUAACUUUUUUUGAAAAAAAAAUAUUUUUUUUGAAAAAAAAUAAUUUUUUUGAAAAAAAAAUAACUUUUUUGAAAAAAAUAUUUUUUUUUUGAAAAUACAAAAAAUAUUAAAUUUUUUUAUCAUAUGUUAAAAAAAUAAAAAAAUAUAUUUUUUUAUGGUCAAAUAUUUUUUGUCUAAUGUUAAAAAAAUAAAUUUUUCAAAUAUCAAAUUUUUUUUUGAAAAAUAAAAAUAUUUUUUAUUUUGAUUUUUUUUUUAAUACCAAAUUUGAUUUUAUUUUUGAUGUUUUUACGAAUAUAAAAAAAAAUCGAAAAUAAAAAAAAUAUUUUAUUUUAUUUUUUGAAAAAAUAAUUUUUUCUCAAAAAAAAAUACUGAUAUUGUUUUAUUAAAAUAAAAAACUUUUUUUAAAAAAUAAAUUUCAAAGAAAAAUUUUAAAGGAAAAUAAAAUGGAUGGAUGGAUAUCCAUCCACUAAAAAUAUGAUAAUGGAUGGAUUGGAUGGAUUUUUAUUCUUAAUGGAAUGGAUUGGAUUGGAUAUUUUUUAAAAACUUUUAGUGGAUUGUUAAUGGAUAAUGGAUUGUUUUGAUCCAUCCAUUAACGAUCCAAUCCAUAUCCAUCCAAUCCAUCCAUUUUGCCACCCCUAGUUCUACUAUGUCUAUGACAGGCCUUAAAGCUUGUAUGAGAAAUGGAUAUUCAUACAUAGAAGGGAUUGAACAAUUGCUUCUAGCCUUAAAGAAAAAUAACUUUGAGAUGCAUGCUUUUACUAACUAUUCUAUAUGGUAAGACAUUUGAUUUCCAUUGUGAUAUCUGUUUCGCUUUGCAUGGCGUUCGUUCUACAGAAUGUUCUGUAUUGUAGGUAUCAGUUGAUCGAAGACAAGUUAAAGCUAUCAAAAUAUUUUAUCUUGGACAUUUUGUUCGUGCACAUAUGGUAGGCCAUCUUACUCUCUCUAACUAUCAUGUCAUGCAAACUUUGAAUAUUUUUGAGCCAUUUUCAUUGUGUUUCAGGAAAGAGGAAACCAGAUGCUGAAUUCUAUAUGGAUGUUGUGAGGCAUCUUGAAGUUGAUCCUUCAUAUUGUAUUUUCAUAGAUGACAGGUUUAUAAUCUUCCUACACAUAUUUGUAUAGUUAUUGAAGUAGUUUAUGCUAAAGUGUGACUGAUUUAUAUAGUUAUUAUGUUCUCAGACAAAAAAAUGUGGAGGCAGCAGCUGAAGUUGGGAUCAAGGGUGUUCAUUUCAAGAAUGUUGAUUUGUUGCGCGAAGAACUGUCAUUGAUGGGGGUUGACAUUUUAACAGAUGAAGAUCAAUAGCUUUUUAUUUAUUUAUUUAUUUAUUUGAAUGCAACAAUUUCUUUUAUACGGUGAAAAAGGCAAAAAUCAAACUUCAAUUCAUAUCAUGCUAUUGAGCUUUGUUAAUAUGACAUCUGAAGGUCAAUUCAUGGGCAUUUUUAAAAUGAGGGCCUAACUGUAAAGACCCCAAUUUAGACAACUUAAAUUUUAAGAAUAAAUUAAUCUUAUUAAAAUAAGUAAGUCCCCUAGAAUAAUGACCCUUAAAAAAUAAUGGUGUUCACUUAAUCAGAAAUGCAUUUUCAUAUAAGUUAAAAUACGUACAGAUUAUAAAAUCUGGACACACUUCAAAAUUAAUAUUGUUUGUGUGUACUUCGUACAAGAUAACAAAGAGAUAAAUUUGGAUGUAUAUAUACAUAGGAUGAAUAUAUACAUUGGAUGUAUAUUAUACAUAAGCCAUUAUACAUACACUGGUCACACAACCAUUCAUUAUUCACAUAAUAAAUCAUACAUAAAUAAUUCAUUCAUAAUGUUUAUAUCAAACAAUAUAUUAUCCAUACAUUAAUCACAAAUUAUACAUGAUUUGUAACUCAAUGGUAAAAAAUAAAUUAUAUCAAAAUACAACUACGGGGUAUAUUUAACCCCUAUAUUCCUCAUAUGCCUCCUAUAUUACAGUGCAAAUCAUGCCUUUGAUAAUAUCGCAUCCAGAGUGACCCUCUCAAGAGUGUCUUUCUAAACUCUCCUUCAGAUAUGGCAUCUCUUCCAAUAGCAACAAUACAAUGACAUAUAAACAAUGCAUCCACAAUAUGGUCCACUCUUGUCAUUUCUCUUCCAUUAAUGAGCUGACAUGCAUGGAUCUUCUUUUAACACUCGUAUCAUAUAAGAAUGAGGCCCUCUAUAAAAUCAUUGGAUGUAUCCAUAUACCAUACUACAUCCAAGAACAGUUGGCACACUACGUACAUCCUCUAGCACCAUAUGCUCGUGGUAAUCGAAACAUAUCCUAUCAACGUCUAUGCGAAGGAUAGUGGCAGAACCAACAACUGUGGGUCCCUAGGUAUACCUUUCAAAUAUCUGAACUGGCACAUUACUCGCUCAGGUAUAUGUGGGUACAUAUGUCGAGACCCACAAGUCAACCAUCAUGUGUAUCAGCACAUCAUCUCCAUAUGUCGUGUCUGACCGUGCUCUCUGUACGAUGAGAAACAAAUAUCAUUUUUCAGAAUACGGACAAGAGCAAGUUUGUACGAAUCAGUCUCCAAAUUCCUCCUAAGUGGGUUAAUCGAGUACACGUGUGAAAACUCUUCAGUGUAGUCAGAAACAUAUUCCCAGCUGGCAAUACUAGAGAAAUAUGGAUGGAUCCAUGCCUGAAAAUGGUUCAGAUGAAAUAUCAAUAAGGGUGUAAAACAAGUAGUAUGAAAUUAACAAAUUAUAUGUAAAUCAAUUACCUAAAAUAGACAAUUGCAUGCAAUCCUUUGUCUUCUUGAUUGUAAUGUGGUUGGUCUAAAAAAAUUGAGUAUUUGCAUAGUAUACCUAGGAACUCCACAUUUACUACUACUACCAAUGUUCUUCGUAGAGAGGUCGAAUGGAUAUUUAUGGAGUUCCGUGAGCAUUUGGUUCUAGAGGACGAAGUGUGUCAAUUCCUUGUCCAUGGAGCAUGGUAUACGGUUACAUAUAAUGAUUUUAUAGAGUUUUCCAAUCUUUAUAUGACACUAGUACCAGAAGGAAAUCCUCCUAGAGCAGCUCAUUAGAAAAUAUUGUAUGAGGAAAAAGAAAUAUGCCAAUGUCUCAGGGGUAUACAUAGAAUACACAUAAUAUACCAACAAUAUUGUCUCAGGGGUUUAUCUGAAGAUUGAAAUCCUUAUUCACCCCUUUGUUAUCACAUAUACACAAAAUAUACCAACAAUAUUAUCUCAGGGGUAUGUAUAUGGAGAUUAGAAUUUGUACUCAACCAUUUGUUAUCACACAUAUAGAAUAUACCAACAAUAUUAUGUUAGGGUGUGUAUAGAGAUUAGAAUUUGGAUUCACCCUGUUUCAUCACAUAUACGUAAAAUAUAUCAACAAUAUUGUCUCAGGAAUGUGUUAGGAAAUUGAAAUCUGGAUUCAUCCAGUUUUAUCACAUAAAAUUAAAUAACAUGAACUUGACAUGAUUUCAAAGCAUAAUAUGACAUCCAUGAACAUGACAUGAACUUAACAUAGAUCUAACAUUUCAUAAAUCUAGCAUGACAUUUCAUCAUUGGUUCAGGAGGUUUCUUCAUCUUUAGAGUAUUAUUAGUUGAUCUCGCAAGUGUCUCAUCCACCUUGAUUGAACCCUUAGUUUUGUAACGGUGAAGUGUACUCCACGUAACUUUUACAUUUGCAUCCGUGUUUAGCUCUAAUUUAUUGAAUUUCAUCUUCCAUUCAUUAUCAAUUGUGGAUGAAUGAUAUUCAAUCUUAGUCACUCUUUGAUUGUCGGUAUAGUGUAAGAGAUUCUCCAGUUUAGAUUUUAUAUCUACCAGAGGGGUGUUCUCUAUCAUCAUAAAUUCAAAAGGAGGUCUCAUGACUAGGCAUGGCAACAUAACCCGUACCCGCGGGUACCCACCCGAACCCACCCCGAAGUUGACGGGGAAAACCCGCUUUUAGUGGGGUUAGGUUCGGGUUUGGAUUUUCUCCGAUUUUAAAAUAUGGGGACGGGUCGGGUAAUAGGGACACUAGUACUCACCCCGAACCCGCCCCCGAAUCCGCCCCGUUUAUUUCAUUAUGUACAUUAUUAUUUAUUUUUGAUAAUUUAGAAUACUAAAUAUGUGGUCAAUGUUUUGAUAUUUUAAUUUGAAUUUAUUAUUUGAAAUGUAUGUAUGGAAUUUAUUUAGAUUGUUUUAUUUUAUUAUUUAUAAUGUAAUUUUAUUUUGGGAAAAUAAAUAUUUUUAUUAAAAAAUUGAUUUCACUAAAUGAAUGGUGGUGGGGCGGGGAUACUCGAACCCAAUCCGAACCCGUUUGGGACGGGUUUGGGUUUUGAUUCUCCAUCCCCGUUUGGGUUUGGGGCGGGGAACGGAGAUUGUUUGGGGAUUCGGGUUUGGGUUUGGGGGAGGUAAAAACCGUCCCCGACCCGCCCCUUUGCCAUGUCUACUCAUGACGUUGAAGUAAACAAAUACAAUAAUCUAAUACAAUUUCAAAGCUCAUGUGACAUUAUCCUCUUUUUCACAUUCCAAAAAAUGCAAAGUCAACUGAGUAAGUCAUCUUUAUAGAAGUAACACCAGCAAUUUCCAAAAGAGAAAGCAUGUACUUGUUAGUAUUAUAUGUUGAAUCAAUUAUCAGUAUCGUGAAAAAUAUGUUGAACAACAUGAUGAAAUCAGAAUGAGACCAAAAUAUAUCUCGAACAGUUUUUCCAUCUUUACACACUCUAUACCUAGAUACAUAAUGAUCAUUAUCCAACAACUUCAACAAUUGUUGCAUUUUUUAUUUUGGACCCCUUAUCGCAUUGUUAUUUCGUUGGCGAACAUUAUAUACUUGCUUAAUAUUUGAGACAUUUUCUGAUAUAUAUUUUUUAAGUUAUAAGUAUAUUUUUAGGUUGAACCAUGUUAAAGGUCAUGUCAGAAACAAGUUUCUUCUCUUCAAAAUCCAGACGACAUACAAUCGGAUGACCAACUAACUAAAGACAUAAUGCAUGAUUAUGUAUAUCACAAAUCAUAUUAAAUGUCAAUGUGUUAUUCGAUUUGUGAUACUCGUGCAACAUAAAAGGACAUCCAUUUUUUUUGUUCUGGUGUCUUCACAUUUCAACUUUCAGAUAAGUUCUUUAUACCGACAACUUCUUUCGCAUGUCAUUGUAACAAAUGUCUGUCUUCUAUCAAACCAAAAUUUGACCUCCUAAUAAUAAUGUCAGACUCUAAUUUGGCAGCCUCCACGCGGAUCCAAUAUAGUGUAUGUUCACGUAAAAUAAACUCAUGAUUAUUGAUAAAUUUAUUUCUAACACCAACAUAUACAACACUUUGUUGGAGACAUUUUAGAUCACCAUAUUUAGAUGCAUUACUUUUGUUCACGGUGCAUCAUACAUAUAACCAAUAAAAAAAAUUCAAUCAAAAUUCAAAUAAUUCGAAAUUCAAUCUCCGAACCAACCCUUCAAUAAUCGGGAUUACAAUUUUUGGACUUUGUGUUCAUGUUAUAGAAAAAUAAAUAAAUUAUAAUAAUUAAUAAACAUGUACAUUAUCUAAAAUUUUAGUCGAUUUUGUAUAUUUUGAUGUUGAAAUACAAUAGGAUUGUGUUUGCAGAAAAUCUUGAAUAUUUUAUUUUGAAUGAGUUAAAAAAAAUGUUAUGAUCAUCAAUAGAACUAUCACGUAUGUAUGGUUUAACACAAAACACUAUAUAAUUUGUUUUUCCGCUUAUAAAUUAGUUUUGUCGAAGUGACUGUCUGGAAUUUGUAAUUCAGACAAAUAUUUACUUGAAUUUAAUGGAUUUCUAAUGAAAAUAUUUAUUAUAUUGUUAUAUUUUCCUGGCAUUUUGUAUGUUCAGAUUUCAAUUUUCAUCGGAAUAGGAGUUAAUAAGAGUGCAAUGAACAUCCCCUUCAUUAAUUUGUGCAUAAUCCCUUUAAAUGGUGGGAAUAGUUCUAUAUUUUGGGAGGAGAUAAUACACCAUGCCAACUUUUUCGAUUUUCUAAAAGCAUAUUGAGCUAAAAACAUUAUACUACAAGGCACUAAAAAAAAUCUAUUAAACCCACCAGUAACUUAGUUGUAAAUUUGCUAAUUAUAUCAGCAACUUAAGCUUCUUAUUAAUCUACAAUGAUCUUAUUUGCAUAUUUAUUUGUACCAUAUAAACUAAUUAAAAUAUACUAAUAUUUAGUCAAAUUCUUUAUAAGGUUUAUUUGUACUAUUAUAAACUAAUUAAAAUAUACUGAUAUUUAGUCAAAUUCUUUAUAAGGUUAUGUUAAUUUUUUAAAAACAAAAGAAAAGAUUAAAAGUUUUUUUGAUAGAAAAUGUUAUUGACUUCCCCGUUAAGAGUCUCACAUUGGACAAUUUAUAAUCGAACAUGUAUUUAUAAUUGAGGGCAAUCAUCACUCUAUUAACUGAUUUUAACGGGUGAUUUUGUAGGAUUGAGUUAGACUCAACUACACAUUAUUAAAAAAAUUCAAAUGCAACCAAUAUGUUAAUUAAUAGUUUAUUAAAGUGUAAAAAAAUGUAAAUUCAAAGAAAAAAAAAUUAAUGAUACUUUUAUGAAGCAUGCUACUUCUAAAAGGGGAAUUAUCCACACCUAAAUCAAUGGUACUUUUAUGAAGCAUGUAAAAUCUUUUGCACAUCUUCUAUAGAACACAUUCUAAAACACAACAUUCUGACGCCUAUUGCACAAGACUCAUAUAUCGUACCAACAUGCUAGAGCAUCACGCUCAAUAUGUAUCCUUUCUGCAACUUCAUACAACUUUAACAAGUUAGACACAUCUUAAACACUUGGACACUUCUCCAAGUUAUUGUUUUGCUCAAAUGUUGUCAAUCCAAUAACAACAACAAAAGCUUAGGAGCGAUAUAAAGACUAUGCUCUCCAUUAAAAGUCUUAUUCAAUCUAUGAUAUGGAUGAUUGGAUUUUAGAAAUUUCUAACGCCGAAGGUAAACAAUCUUUUUUUUUUGAACUGAAGUUGGUGGAAAUAGGGAUGUUCAACACCGAACUAACCUAAUAAAAAAUCGCAAACCAAGUCAAACCAAAUCAAAACCGCAAAAAACUGCACUUGGUUCGGAUGUGCUUGAGUCAUUUCUUAAGAAAAUUGCGCAGUUCGGUUUAGUUUGCGGUUUGUAUUUUGCAUACCGAACCAAACCAAACCAAAUCGCAUUACAUUACAAUCCAAACUUCAUUAAUCCCACAUCUAACCCAAAACCCAAACCUAUUAUCCUUACCUUUUAUUAUGAACGGUUUUAUCUUACUCACACUUAGGGUUUCACUUUCAACUUUCUUAAAUCUCUCAUAGUAGUAUCAAAUAUUCUUCUCAUAUUCUUUGUCAUGUAGAUCUCACCUCUUCUAGGCUAAUCUUUCAUCUCUUAUGUUCUUUUUUAUCUUCUCAUUUUUAUCUUAUUUUCUCUAUUCCUAUUUUGUUUUUAUCACACCUUUCUUCUAUAAUCUCGCACCUCUUUUGUUCUUUCUUUUCCAUCUUCUGUAAUCUCUCCUCUCCUCUAUUUUUUUGUUUCAUUAUAAUAUUUUUGAUAUUUUUAUGAUACUAUUUAUGCUUUUUUCUUCCACUUUUGUCUAAUCUAAUUUUUGUAUAUUGAAUGAGAAGUUUUUUUCCAAGUAUGAUAAGUUUCAUUGUUAUUUGGUAAUAUGUGAAUGACUAAAUAUAAAGUUACGUUAUUCUCUAUAGGUGUAUGCAUGACUCAGUAAAAAUCUUAUAAAACACCGAACAUAAUCAACCCAAACCGCAUUGAUUUGGUUCAGUUUUAUUUUUAAAAGUCAAUCCAACCAAACUGAACCGCACAUUUUUAUCUCUUGCGAUUCAGAUGACUUUUACCGUAAGAACCACCAAAACCGCAACGCGAAUACCCCAAGGUGGAAGUAUAUUAGAUUCACAUAUAUGACACACUUUGUGUUCCUUGACACUGUAUCCAACCAAAUUACCAUAUACAGGAAAUUCGUUGAUUGUGCAAAAUAACAUGGCACACAUCUUAAACGUUUCACCUUGAUACGCAUCUUCAACAUCAAUGUCUUUCUCCCACAAAACUCUUAAAUAUUCAAUUAAUGGAUUUAGAUAAACAUCUAUGUUGUUUCUAGGUUGUUUUGGCCCCGAAAUUAUCAUAGAUAACAACACAUAUUUACGCUUCAUGUACAACCAAAGAGAUAAGUUGUAAAUCAUUAGAAAAAGAGGUCAAAGGGUAUAGUUAGUACUCGAAUUAUCAAAGGGGUUCACUCCAUCAGUGCCAAGUCCAAGCCUAAGGUUUCUUGGCUCAUGACCAAUAUCUAGAAACAACAAAUCGAUUUUCUUCCAUUGCAAAGAACCAACUACAUGGAGAAUUUUUCCAUCAUAUUUUCUUUCAUUUACAUGUCAUCUAGUAUUCUUUGAGUCAUUCACCUUAACAAACAAUCUCCUGAAUCUUGGAAUUAUUAGCAGGUACGGUUCCGUUCUAGGAACCAGAAAUGGACGAAGUUGGAUAAUUGAUGGUCUUGAACGGUGGUAUUGAUCUCCUUUACGACGAUGCGAGGUGGACCUACAUGAUUAACACUCCAACGCCCAAGUCAGUUCAAAAUCUAAGAAGACUAUUAUGAGAAGUGGAAAUCAUAGAGUGUAUCUUGCUCUUUGCAUGUGAAUUUAUUUAAUGUCUUGGGCCAAGUGGAGUAGAUAUGAGUUGAAUUGGUCCUCAGUUAUUUGGGCCUAUAACAGUCUAGAAUAGUUUCCCCAAGGUUUUAUCGGGUACUCGAGGAGUCGGGGGAAGCCUUAAGUGAUGUAGAUCGACCUCCUAGAUGUUGUCCGAUGUGAAAUGAAACUGAAACGCCUUGAAUUAGUUGAAAAAGUAGUGGGGAACAAGUGCAUUAAAUGUCACAUCAUUGAAAUGUUUCACAAUUCUCUCCUGACAUUUGUGGUGACAUGACUAGUCAGGGCAUGACGUAAUUUACAUUUCACUCGAGUGUACUCGAGUUGGCAUGCAUCCACGAGAAAAAAUCUAGUUGUUGAUCUUGUGACUUCUUUCUCUAUUUGGUCUGAACCAUUAGGUAUUAUUGCUUACACAUAAGGUGAACUGGGUAUUUCGAAGUUUUCGCAACCCUUGACAUUCAAAGUUACUUUCUUAGAAAACCUCUUUGUUUCCUCUUCCAUGAGAAUAUUAUUAGGGGUGAUCUUCAACAUUUUGCUCAAAACUUUUGCCUUUCUUCGUCUUUUCCUACUCCACCAAUCUCAUUUAAUCAGGUACCAUCCUAACUCAAACUUUUAUAGUCAGCAUUUCCUGUUUUCUGGUUAGGAUGAGUGAUAAUAUUAUUGACUUAGUGAGCGAUUCAGAGACUGAAACUUUGUCUGCCUCUAUAAUGGGGAUAUCCCCUAAUUCUCAUCUUUCUACUCUUAGUCACAAUCACUUGGAACCAGAAAUCACACUCUUAUAACGAUUAUGACUAAAAAAGGCUAUGUCGAAGUUCCUUGGAGGAAUGAACUUCUCCAUCUAGCUCAUUAGAAAACCUUUUAUCGAACAUUGGCAUAGAGGCUAAUCGCGUCGAGGUCCCUUUUUCCCAUUGUGUCUUAUCCGAGGAGGAAAUACAAACUAACCAACAGAAGAAAUAACGUGCUAAAGAUUAUAUCCAGUUUCGCCUGUCAAUCAAAAAUUGCGAGCCCAAUGUCGCUGAAGUGGAUGGUAACCAGUAUUUUACCCAUUUUUUAAUUAUUAAUAAAAAUUAACAUUAUAUUUAAUAUAUUUUAAAUAAUAAAAUUUGAUGAACUAAUGUGUUAUAAUGUCUCAUAUCUGACAGUAAUCUUUAUUUAUAUUUAUGUAUUCAUAUAAAUAAAUGGUUUAAUAUUUAUAAAUCAAUAUUUUUUAUAAAAGAAUAAUGAAGCCUUUGGAUUUUUUUUUACUAAAAGAUAUAAAUUAUAAACUAGAUAAAUAUGAUUUAUUUUAAAAUUUUCUAUUUUAUUUAAACAUAAAAAAUUGCAUUUUUUUAUAUUAAAUCUAAUUUAUAGCUUUGUUCUUGUAUUCUACUUAUUUUUACAAAAUUAAUCUCUUUAUUUUUAACAUAAAUAAUUUUAAUCUCCUCUCUUACAUUUUCUUUUUUAUUAAAUUAACUAUGUUUAAUCUCUUCUGAUCCCUUUUCAUUAAAUUAACUAUGUUUUUCAUUUUUUAAAUUAUUACAAUUUUUUUUAUAAAACAUCACAAAAUCACCGUAUAAAAAUAUAUAGUAAAACUAUAAAUAAAAAUACAACAAUAUUUCAUUGAAUAACAAUCGGAAAAAUCAGUUGAGAAAAAAAAAUCGGAGAAAUCAAACAAGUGAUAUUUGUUGGAAGAGAAUUGUGAGUGGAAGUUAGAACUCAGAACAUGUCUUUCACAUGGUGCGUUAACCCAGUUUCUUCACAGCUACAAUUCAACCCAACAACAUCAUGCUUCCACUCCCACGUUUCUGGAACAACAACAACAACCUCGUCCCUGUCUCUACUACCUCGUUCAUCUCCUCUUCUCUCUCAAAACACCGUUUUCCAUUCCCAACCCAAACUACAUAUCAAACGCUCUUCCACCACAACUCGCUGCUCUGGUACUUCUCUACCCUCUUUUCCCUUUCAUGGGUUUUCACUUAAUAACUAUAAAGUCACAACCUUUAAUUAAUUUUGCCAUGUCAAUUACACCUUCAACCCCUUUUAGGGUUAUCUCUAAUUCAAUUCAAUUUUCACUUUUUACAGCUUUAUAGGUAAGAAUAUGAAUUAAUACAAAUUGGGUUUUUCUGAUUUUGGUUUUGUUUCAGCGUUGACUCCUGAAUUGAAGACCACGUUGGAUAAAGUUGUUACUUCAAACAAAAUAGUUUUGUUUAUGAAGGGUACUAGGGAUUUUCCACAGUGUGGAUUCUCAAAUACAGUGGUGCAAAUUUUGAAGUCUAUGAAUGCUUCUUUUGAAACUGUAAACAUAUUGGAUAAUGAUAUGGUGCGCCAGGGACUUAAGGAGUAUAGCAGUUGGCCUACUUUUCCUCAGCUAUACAUUGAUGGAGAGUUUUUCGGUGGAUGUGAUAUCACUGUUGGUAUGUCCUUUUCAUAUUGAAGACGUGUCUGGUAUCUGGUAUCGACACUACGCCAAUGCAUUAGUUCACAUUCGAUCAUUUUCAUUUUGUCAAACUAUUACAUGUUUCGGCGCGUGUCCGAAUUGGUGUCAUAUCUGGUGUGCGUAUCUAUGGGUUGAUGCUUCAUAGCUGAUUAUGAUUUUGCAUCUAUCUUUGUUUGCUGCAAUAUUGGCUUAAUCAAUUCAUGAUGCAUUGGUGAAAAUGUUAACAUGUGUAACUUAUUUCUGUGUUAGAUUACAUAUCUGCAUACAUUGCUUCCUUGUAUUUGAUUCAUAAAAGUUGAAAAGAUAAAAACAAAAUGUCCUCAAACUUUCAUAUGUUUACCGCAUGCUGCAACUAUUGACUGCAUAAAGUUUAUCUUUUUUAGCUUAAGUUGUAAGAUCAUCAGACUUUAUUAUUACAACUGCCACUUGAUUUCUUGAAAAUUAUUGUCUUAAUCUCACUUUGUUUUUUUUUACUAUAGAGGCAUAUAAGAAUGGAGAAUUACAGGAAGUGGUGGAGAAGGCAAUGUGCUCUUGAGGUUUCAUUUCCUCAUGAGCAGAGAUGGAAGGAAUGAGUUACACAUUGGCUUUGGAUUAAUGGACCAAAAACAUUUAUAAUACAUUAUGUUCUUAUUAUGUAUGUGUAUGAGUACUACAUUGCAAUAAUCUUGACAUUUGGAUACAAAAUAGAAUAUCUCAUUGAAUGGACAAUUAUAGUGCUAGUUGCUGCUGUAAACUUUGUUAAAUUAAUCAUUUUUGUGGCUUUUGUAUUACUGUCAUGCUCUGAAUAACUACUGUUAUGGCUUUUGUGUACAUUGCCAUGGUAUGAGCUUUUAUAGCCUCAGGUCAAUUUUUGUGUGUAGUUUUUUCAUAUUGCCACUUCAACUAAUAAAUGUAAGAGAAUAUAAACUCAAUAUUUUUCUCUCACUUUGGUAAUUUUUGAAAAUUAAAACAUUUUUUUUAAUUGUAUUAUUUCUAACCUGUCUUUCAUCUUCUCUUUAUCACAAUUGUUGAAAACAUGUUCUUCUAUCUUCUUAAUAAUUUAAAAUAUUUCAUCUUCUCUUUAUCACAAUUGUUGAAAACAUGUUCUUCUAUCUUCUUAAUAAUUUAAAAUAUGCAUAAAGUUACUCAGCAUAUCAUAACAUACAAAAUCCAUGAAAGGACAAAAAUUGAAAAUUAUAUUACAUUAUGAAGAACUCUUCAUUCACAUAACUAAUUCCUGCAUAAAAAAAGUUCAGUGUCAAUCUCCUUUACAAAAAAAAUACAGCAUUGCCUAUACAAGGUUUAAUAAACGUAUAUGAACAUAGAAAAUCUCUUUCAGAAGAGCGUCAAAGAAUAUCCGACGACAGAGACAAUCAUCAAAGAAUGUCGGACAUAAUCAGAUGCGGAUCAGCGUGCUUUGUUCACACACAGGCAGCAGCUUUUGAUGCAGGAAUAUUCAGCUAUGGUUUUUGAGGAGAUUCGUGCAGCAGAUUCUCUGACUUGCAAAUAUUUUUACAAUCAUGAAUUCCCUUUGGUCAGUUCUCAAUUAUGCUUUUAAAACUCAUGGAACGGUCUGAUGAUUGUGCAUCGAUAAUGACUGUCGUUUGAUGCAGAGAUACCUAUGCUAAGUUCCAUUGCUUUUUAUUUGAGAAGAGUGAUUAGAUGAUGAAGAUUGGAGCAAAGACUGUGCAGCUAACAAUCUCUCCCUUAACAUAGCAUUAUACUCAUAUAAAUUUUCGAGAUUCUUUUGAAGAUCAGACAUAUCCAUUUCAGAACCACUCUUGCAUUCUGCAUACGUUUAUACACAAGUUACAUGCAAGAGAGUUAGCAAAAGCACUAGCAUUCAACGUGAAAGUAAAAUCUGAUAAUUAGUAAGCUGGUAUCAACAUACCCAGCAAAGGUGGAGGAGGAAUAAAGUUAUCAUCAAUAAUAGACGAUUCUCGAGGCUGUGAUCGUGGGAAAUCCCUGCUUGAACCAACACUAUGAUUCUUUGCCGUAUUUUCAUAACGCAGUGUCGAAUCAUUUGUAGAUUCAACCGGUUUGCUGCUCAAUGUCUGAAAGAAAACAUUAAAAUCAAAUAUAAAAAGAAUGCAUGGCAGCAACCAUAUAUUUUAGUAGAAAAACUAGCCACAAACAAAUCAUAUUAACUAUUUUCUUUUGUCUCAAACAAAUCAAUUAUACACAAUGACGGCUUUACCUUGUUGGCAGGUAAACUCGGUUUCUUGUACAAAUUUAUAGAACUUGCUCUACUCUGCUGCCUUCGCUUACGUGAUGAUCCACCGCCGCGAACUGAAUGCAACAUUAACCCAUCGCAACAAGGUUUAUUUUUAGAUUUAUCGUAGUUGUCAUCAUCCAUUGUAGGACAGCCGUAGGUGUACUUUACAUAUUUUCUCAACUGAUCAAAAGAUGAAAUAUCAGUCAUAUAACCAACAAAUACGAAGCUUAGCUAUUAUUGAUCAUAAGGAAAUUAAUACCAAAUAUACAAUAUGUUUUCAGAAUUAAACAAAGAAAUUACUUUGGCCCAAUUAUCUUGAGCUUUACGCCGAUUUCUAAUUGACUGCAAAACACUGUCCUCAUUUCUGAGCUUCUUUACCCUAUACUCGCACUAGAAUUUUAAAAAAUGGUUAGAACAAUAAGGAAUAUAACUAUCUCAGUAUGAAAAAACUAUUACUCACUAGAAAGGAAGAAGUGUACCUGUAUCAAUAGAUAGAAAAAGAUGCCUAUGCUAAUGCAAUACAGGCCACCAAGGUCUGCAAGGAAGCUCACUGCAGAUACCGACACUUAAGGUUACUAUAAUUAUUCCAUUUUCUCAAAUAUUACUGGAGUCAACGUGUCUGUGUUGUGUCUGGUGUCCGUGUCUAGGGUCAGUGUUUCAUAGGAUGAUAGUAUCCGGUGACUAGUCCGAGAAUGAACAAAAUUAGGAGUGCUAAUGAAAAUAUGAUACAAUAAAUUGGAAGAAAAUAGCUACAAGCUUAAGCAAACAACAAAAUCACAUCAGAAAGAUAGCUUGCAUGCACAAGCUAUAGAAAGAUGCUUACCAGGACCCAACAUAUUCUCUUUAUCAACCUCCACAACAUAAGCAGAUAGAAAAUUGAUAUACAAUGUUGUGUUGACUAGUCCAUCAACAGAAUUUUCAAGCGACGUUCGUAAUUGACUUGUAUCACGAAAAACUGAACCAGGGAGGAACUCGUGAAACAAAGGCUGAAUGAGUUUUAGAUCGUGUAAAUUAUGGUAUAUUCGAGGGAAAAGAUUGAAUUUCAAAAUAUUUGAUUGCCUCCCUCUGAACGUAACUGGUCUAUCAUCAAAAGCGCUUCCGUUUUUUAGUGUCCCAUUAACAAAACUCACGUGUUUCUUAGCACUAUCCGUUGCAGCGAGAUGAAAUUCAUAGCCAACAGCAGUGGCAGGACUAUUUGGGAGAUCAACAAACUGCCACGAAAUGUACAUGUGAUCGGAGACAAGCUUGCAACCUUUACACUUAAGUGCUAUGAUUGGUCCCUUGCUCGAGUUAUGACAUGCGUAGUUUACUAAAGUUGACAGAGAAACAACUCUUUCGUCAAUAAAGCCUGGAUUCCCCGAAACUAAAUUACCGAGAUCACGCAGAUUUGCACAGUUCAUACUAGAUACAGUUGUUAUAUUGAACUCCAUGUCAUUGAGAAACGAGGUUAAUUCUGGCGCACUUGUUGCUCUUACAUUAUGAACCUCAAUCGAUCUCUUCGAUAUGAUCUGGUACAACAACCUGAUGGAAAUUGGACCGCCGAGUAAAAAAGAACGACUCAUGACAAAUAGAAAUCGAAACGUGAUAAGGAAAAAACAAUUUAUUCCUGUCUAUUCCUGACAAUGUGAUGAUAAUGCAUCAAAGACUUACGCAGCAAAUAAACCGAUAAAGAGUAUCCAACUUGCUAUGGAGAAAGCUCCACCAAGUUCAGUUUUGCGUUUGGUUACGACUUUUUUAUCAUCCUACAAGAAAACAAAAUGCCACUCAAUAAAUUAUUUGCCACACAUAUAAAGAGAGAGAGGUCUGUGUUAGGCAGUCGAUGGCCAACAUAAAACUUUGUUGAAUCUCUAUGACAUGACUCAGACAUACAAGGGCAUUCCUACAUUAACAAAACAUCGACUAACCUAACUGAUAAACCGAAUUAAUAGUAACCAAACUAUCUACCAUUUUGUUGCUAUAAAACUAACUUAACUAAACACCAACUAAUUUAACUUAUAAACAUAAAUAACUUAUUUUGUUGUAAUAAAACAAAACAAAGUACUAACCAACCAAUGUCUGGUAGCAAAGCAAACAUCCAACCGACUGAUAAACCAUCUAAGUUUGAACCAAACACCACGGCCAUCACCAAGGGUCAUGAACCUAAGAAAAAAGCAAAAGAGAAGCCAAGAGAGAAGCAUAACAAGCGUGGCUUCCAAGAACACAGCUUGUGAUUGUGUAAACUUCUUGAUGUUAUCAAAGCCAGAAAGUGUCUCGGGGAGUCUAAAAGCAUAGUAGUCGACGCCAGAAUCUGUGGUUAUAGUUGAAUCUGCGUCGAAGAGGUUGCAACUUUUUGCAACAAGGUUGAGAACAUAACCAGGUGCACAGGCACAAAGGGUAUCAUUGUAGGUGAUGGAAUUUGAAGGACAAGCCAUUGAAAAAUUGAGAGGUACCUACUACCUACCCAGUUGAGAAAAAACAAAAAAGAUUUUAACUUGAAGUUGGAUUUGGGUGUUUGAACAUGAAAGAUGAAAUGGGGUUGAUUUUGUUUGAUGAAUUGGUUGGAUUGAAAGUUGAAACAGUAAAUUAGGAUUCAAGACAUAACAACAAAAACAACGCAUUUAAUGUUUUUUGUUUUUGUUUUAAUUAUGUGUGCCUGUGAGAGUUUCUUAGCGUUGAAGCAGUUGUGAUAGAUAAGGAAAAGAAUUGGAUUAAAAGUUGGUGUUGCUGUUUGUAGCUGGGUUUUGGAAUUUCGGCAACUUUUGUUUUUGUUUAUGUUUUGGUUUUGCGUGUGUUUUUUGUUUUUGUUUGUGCUUUUUUUAUUUUUACAAAUCAGAGUCACAAAAGCAUAUUCUUGAUUUCAUUUGUGAUUUUAUUUUCCCUUUUUAAAUAUUUUUUUUGCUUUUUCAUAUUUUUAAAAAGGUAACAUUGAUGGAUUAGUUUCCUGCAGUACCCCAAUAACGGGAAAAAAAUUGCUCUAAACGUCUUAGAUUGAAAUAAAAUUCGUAUUUGUCAUAUUUAUUCAAAUUUUUCUAAUAUGGUUUAUUGUUGAAUAGGCGAAGAAUGUCUUGGGCACAUAGACUUUCACUCAUUUAAAGUCAAACUCUUUUUUUAUCUUUUUGUUUUUUAAUUUUUCAAUAUAUUAAAUGAUUUAAAAAUAAUAUAAUAAUUAGUUUAAUAAUAAUUUUUUAAAAUUUUAGUUCAAUUUUUAUUUUAAAAAACAGAAUUUUUUAAAUUUGAAAAUUUAUUUUAAUUUAUAUAUAAUAAUAAAAUAAUGAGAAAAUAAAUAAUAAUUAAAAAAAAAAAUAUUUUAGCUCGUUGAGUUGUUGAAAGUGUUUUUUUCAUUGGGUGUGGAAUUCGGUUUGUUUAGUGAUCUUUUAUAAAUAAUAGAGGGUUAGAAAGUAGUAUAAUCAUUAUUUAUUUUACUCAUUACAUGUAUAUCUUGUAUGGGCAAACUUAACAAAGAUAAUUAAAAAAAUAUAGUUAUUUGAGUUGUAGUAGUGAGGAUAAAUAUAUUAUCUAUGUUAAUAACUUUUUUACGAAGUCUUUUGUCUUUGAUCUCAUGUAUGAAGUUGUGUGCAAUGUGUCUGAUGCAGUGUAUAUGUGAAAAUAAAGUAUAUUGUCAUCCAUUUUCUUGAUCAUUAUAUGCAUUCUUUAUAGAUUUAUGUUUGUCACAUGUCAAACAAAGGUUGGCUUGAGGGGUGAUGUGCGUUCACAAAUCCUUUAGGAAAAAACUUCAAGCACUUCUUGUCUCACCCUUUACUAAUGCAAAAGCUAUUGAAAAAAUAUUGUUGUUUCCAUCUUAUGUAACAACCAUUAACAAUGUCCAUUUAUACUUAUCAUACAACCAUUUUCUGUAAACUUACACAAUGGAUUUGUAGUAUGUAAAACCGUUAAUAUAUGGUUGGAAAGCCCAUAACAGAUGAUGGAAGAUUCGUCUGUCACUGAGUUAUGUUUCUUCGUUUGAAAAUGCAGACAAUUUUGUAGUUUUAAAAUAGUUUGCAUGACCAACAACCAUUGUGAAAGAUUGUUGUAAAAUGUCUCCUAGUUUCGGUAAAAAUAUUCGAUUGCCUUUGUUUUUUGAAAUCCACGUCUUUUUGUACAAGAUUAUGUGCUUAUAUUUGUCAAAAUUAUAUCUGAUAAUAAACUCCACUUUAUUUGAAGCAUCACGGUUAACAAGCUCAUGGAUGUUGUGAGAAAGCCAUGUCUGAGUCGAGCUUUUGAUGAUCCUGCAAAUUAUAGGACAAAGUGAAAGUGUGAGGUCACCAAUUUUGAAUUAUUCGUUCUUAAUGAAGCUCUGCGUUUGAAUGGCAUUCUGAGUUUGUACAUUUAAUCAUAUAUCGUUGAUUAUCUGAUUUAGAAACCCAACAAUCAAGAGAAUUUUUUAUAUGCUAGUGUUGAAAAGCAAGAUCAUAUUCUUCCUUAUUUUCAAACUUCAUCCCAAUCUCUAAAUUCUCGUCUUUUGGAUGUCUGAUGUAGUUCCAUAAAACAGAGGCAUGUUCGACGACAUCCAAGCAUAUAUUUUGCAUAUGGACAGGUGGAUUAUACAUACUAAGCAGUCGGGGUUUAGAGCCUGAGUGUUCCCGCUUUUGGGGUCAUCAUCGUCAUCGUCACCAAAUAAAUCAACAUAUCAUACUACAUCAUAAUUACUGACUUCCUCAAUUGGAAUGAAACGUUCAUUAUUUAGUGAUGAUUAGUCUUCACUGCGCGGGUAAUGCAUAGGAAAGUGUGUUGAUGAAGAUGUAGGUUGACUCAUUUCAGCAAAAAGACAUGUAACACAAGAAAUACAUUUAAUGCGUGUGUUUUCAAUGCCAAUGGUGUUCCAUCAAUACCCUUCACCUGACCUAAACAUCAGUUGAUCUUAGAGUAUGCGCGACAAACUCUUCCCCUGCAAGGCAGAGGAAAGGGCUUAGAAGACCUAUUAUGGGCUUACCAUAAGGCCCAGUAAGAGCGGCCCAAGAGCGAAACGCUAUUGGGGACCACACACAAGAAAGGAGGACUUCCAUUCUCUUAAAUAAAGACAAUCUUUGCUCCUAACUCAUAACACCCAGGUAAGAUCAAUCAAAUGGUCCCUUAUAAUUUUCUAUAUAAAGAGAGGGCACCAUUUUACAAAUAAUUUCAAAUCAAUCUCCAUUAUUUUUCAUUUCUCAUUCUCUCACCAACUUAAACUUCAACAUUUGAGUACUAACAUUGUAGAUACAUUGAGAUACAUUGAGGCGCCUCCAUACAUAAAAGUUCAGUGUACCACAUCAAAAAUCCAAUCGGGCAGAUUCAUCUCACAUUUCUGAUUUCCUCAACAAAAAAAUCUUUUAAUAAAUUAAAUAUAAUUCACAUCAGUUUCUUAAUGAGAUGUGUCUUUAUAAAAAUAAUCGUCGAAACACUCAACUCAACUCUACUUUUUAUUGGUUAAAACAAUUUCGUAUAAAUUUAGUGGAUUCCAUAUAAUUUUAAUCAAUUGAAAUGUGCGAUAGUGUGUUCCUAGCACACAUCUCUUUUUAACGGUGGAGAAUCAAAUGAUACCAUCACUUUCACUUCAAUAUACAGACGCUUUUUAUAAAUAAUUAUGUCACGCAGCUGGCAUCUAAGCUGAUUAUUCGUCAAAAUACAAUUAAAAAUUGUAGAGCAAACAUGGAAUGAAUAUGAAAACUUUUUGAUUAGAUAUACAACAAAAAAAUAUGGUCAAGUAAAAUAUAAGAACUCAGAGUUCUCUUCUACUACGGGCAAGAUCACUUGCUAAAUCUUCAUGUUGCUCACAUUGUUCCAAGAAUUUCUUAUAUCCAGGAUUAUAAGCAACAACAAGUCGCAGAUACUUUGCAGCUUCAGCCUUUUGACCAGCAUCAUAUAAAGUGCUGUGAACACAAGAAUUCAAAUCCAAUCUUAUUAGCAAAAUGGAAAUAAGAAAAUGAAAGUUUUGACACUAAUUAAGGUAUUUAACCAAGCUGUACCUGGCAAGCAGCAGUAACGCAUCAAAAUAAUAGCCUUUACUUGUAGGAUCUUCAGGCUCAUCCAUAUUUGCGACCCUUUCAAAGUGUACACGCCCUUCAUCCUUCUUUCCCUGCCAUACAGAAAAUUGAAGAAAAAUGAAACUCAAAGCCAAUCUUAAGACGCAUAAUGUUUGUAAACAGACAUUAACAUUGCUAAUUGCUAAUUAAGACAUGCACACUCAGUAGUCAUUAAUCAAUAUAUGAUCACAUCUUUAAUUAAUAAAAUACUUGUGAUCAUAACAUAUAUUCUUUCUACUAUGAAUGUGUCAUAAAAUAUAUAAAAAAAUUGUCUUUUAGUUGGAUGAUAUAUCAUAUCCGAAUAACAAUUGUGUCUUUAGUUGGUGAGAAGUGUCAAAAUAUAAUAUCCAAAUACUUUUACAGACAGAAGUCUGAUAAAAAUAAAAUAAAAAUUGAAGUAAGCAUUUCACCUGUCGUUCACAGGCAAUUCCUGCCCAUUGAGAUGAAAGAAUCAAAAAAUCAACCUCUUCUGGAUCAGUUGGGAGGCCAGCCAGUGAAAGCUAAUGAAAAAUCGGUAAACAAUUAGGCAUUAACGGUGCAAAUGAAAUGAAAUGAGACAAUAAAAAUUUCUAUUCGAAAUAAAAUUGAAAAAUAGCAAUUCAAAAGUAUAGUUCACAGAGGAACAAAUAUCAGACCAAACAUUAUAAAUAAAAACAGAAUAGCAAGUUAAAAAGAAAAUGGAGGCAAAUAUGAAUUCACACCUUUGAUAUUGCACGCUCAAAGUAUUCAACAGCUUCAUCAUUUAUUUGCUUCAGCAAGAGAACCCGUCCCAUUAAAACUAAAGCUCGCAAGUAUUCAGGGUCCUUAUCAAGUGCUAGUCUGUAUAUGGGAGUUAAUAAAGCAUUCCACCAUCAAUCAUAGAUAAGGCUUAAAAUUAAAAUAACACUAAGAAUUUCCUUUUCUAUCAAUUCUUCUCCCACUCUGAAGAAAUUAAAAUGAAUAGCUCACUUUAGUAACUAGAAAGCAUAACUUACUUUAGUAAAGGUAUUGCACUUUCUUUAUCAUUACUGGAUAGAAAUGGGACUGCAAGCUGUAAACAAAACCAACACAUUAAUUGGUGACAAAUUCUUGGAGCCAAUAAGGUUUUAAUGACAUCUCAUACUUGAUGCAUGUUCAUGUUCUUAUUCACUCACAGUGGUUAGUUCUACAGGGGACAUGUUCUCUAUAGGUAUUUUCUGCCACUUUUCAGGUGAAUCCAGAGGGUUCUUUUCAGGAGAAACGUUUUCCUUGGUAGCUGCUAUUGUACUAUUGUCUUGUAAACGGGGUGUUUCAGAAGCACCAAUUUCCUCAGAAGCUGUUUUUUGACGAUUCUUGUCAAGUAACCCCAAUUUUGCAAGGAUAGUAGGAUUUCUAAGAGCAAAAUGCUGCAAAGUUUAUUUAAGAUUUAUCGUACAUAGUAGUUCAAGCUUAAAAAAACUUACAAUGCACAGAGUUUUCUUACUAACCUGAACGAGUGUUAGUGAACUAUUGGUAAUCCAAUAGAGUUGGCUUCCCUGCAAGAACAAAUUUCAGUAAUAUAAGACUACAACCUUCAGAUUAUGGCAAGAGAUGGGUUGAGACCUGAGUUUACCAUAAAAUAAAGCAACUGCCAACUAGAAUGAAAAAAGGGCACAUACGCAAAAGGAAUGUUGCAGUAACGUGAUCGCUAACUAAUCUUCUGUUAGAAUUAUGAGAAACCAAUAUAGCAUCAAGCUACUCAUUUUAGUUUUGAUAGGUAUUGAUGAUUAAUCCUAAACCUAGUUAGUUAGUAAGUAGAAAUAUGGUUAGGAGAAAUAAUAAGGCACCUUGCCUGUAAUCCUAAACCUAGUUAGUUAGUAAGUAGAAAUAUGGUUAGGAGAAAUAAUAAGGCACCUUGCCUGUAAAUAAAGAGGAAAGAGUGAGAGAGAAGGUAGCUUGUCCUUUUGGCAUUAGGAGGUGCACUCUCAGAAUCUGAGCAACAUUGUAAUCUAGGAAACUUAACCUAUUCUUUUGUAAUAAGAUACAAGUUCAAAUCAAAUGGACAAGGGAAACCUAUCAAUGUAAGUUCAGAAUAGGAGAAUAUACCGUUACAUUGAAACGUUGCAGAAAUUAUAACUCUAUCUAGUAUCAACUACUGCAGUCAGGGUAUUAAGAUACCUUAUUAAUCAUAUUGAGUAACAAAUGAAAAUAGACUCUAAUGGAUUAUAAGGAAAUAGUAGCUUAUUUCAAAAAAAUUAUAGGUUUCCUUAAUCUUCAGCAACCAUGCAUCCCAAUUCCCCAGUGAGCAGUGCCUACUGCCUACUGCCUACAUAUAUCUUGCACAGUAAGAUAGCUCCAAAUGUAGGAUUAUUCGUAAAAUGUGUAGUCAAUUCUGAGUUUUUUAAUUUGUAAACCAUGCAGUCUCUGAACCAUCUGACCAUCUAUCAUAUCGUAUAUGGUAUACUACCAUAAAUUCUCAGAAUGCAUGGCAGAGAUGUCAUUUAUCCAACUAAUAUCCUAACAACGCAAAAUAUAUAAGAAUUAAAAUUACCUGAGGAAUACAAAAGCCAAUGAAAGCUAUAGGCACCGUUAGAAAGUCCAAGUAUCGCUUGUAGUACUGCAUUAACAAAAAUAUUUCUCAUUUAAUUGUUGAAUUACUGCUUUUAAAUCAGUGAACAGAAGCAGACACAACAUGCUUAAACACUAUUUGUAAAAUGAAAUAAAGAUAUUUAUAUCACAGAAAAUGCAAAAUAAAGAAACAUAUUUGAUACAAAAUAGUACACAGCAAUGUUCUCUGUUUUUAUAUCAACUUUGUUUUUGCUGAGGAAAAUUAAUACGAAGUAACACGUUAAAACUGUUAUACUCACAGUGGAUAACAAGCCAAAAAUGUCCUUUGUUUCUUCAACCAAAGGUUUCUUAAAGGAUACCUGAUGAACCAAGAACAUAAUCAGUACACAGUAUAUGUCUAUGAAUGACUCAUCCACGCCCUUAGACUUUGAGAGAAUUAACUUAAAGUGCAAUUGCACAUGCCAAACACAUCCCAGACAGAAAGCAAAAAAAAACACUUAUGCAUUAAACUAGAAACUGAUUAUCAUUUUAAAGCACAUAGAAUAUUAGUUAUUGUACUAUAUCUGUAUACAAUUUUAUUAUUGACUGAGCUACUAGUGAGACAGCAAUGUAGCUUGUUUAGUAAAGGGGAAAAAACCAACAAAAUUUGAUUUCAUCAUUAUAAGCAGAAUAACAGAGGCAGUAAGCAUACACCAUGUAUUGGGUCGCCUAACUUGAGUAAUCACAGGCAUUGAUCAAUUUCCUUUAUGUCCAUCAAGUUUGCCAGCUAUUUUGGCUCGGUAAACCUUUUAUUAUAUUACAUCAGCUGCCCCAAAUAUCCUGUUAAGUAGUUGGCUCUUAAUGAUUCAACUACAUCCCAACUUUAUCACGGAGGUCGCCAAAAAGACUGAUAUGUUAAGAUUCAAAAAAAUUUAGUAGAAUUAAAUUAAACUAUUCCAUGUUAAAUGAAUGCCUUAACCCACAUGGGCAUGGAGAUGGGGGUAAAGCAACAAAAGGUAAAUAGAAAUGAUUUAACCCCUCGUGGUUAUGGACUCAGUACUUCAUUACCUGAACAAUAAUGUAGUGCAAACUAGCCAUCAGAAAAGGAAAGGUGAACCCUGAAUAACCGUGAGAGAAUUCAGUUAAAUUCUGAAACCAUAAAGCACCGCCCUGCAAUAUUUAGCAUGUUUAAAUCAUUCAGCAACAAUGGGUGUCUGUGUUAAUAUGGUGCAAAUAUCUUUACAACUUAAUAUUCAACAAUCACCAUUGAUACAGCCUCUCUACAGCAAUAAAGUUCCCAAAUUCUGUUAGUCCAUAAUUUGCAUGCCAUCAUUAAAACUUACAGUUAUCAUUCUAAUCCAUCUAAUCAAACUGAGUUGGAUCUUCAUGUUUGAUAUCUUAUAAAGUGGUUUUAUUCGUUCAUGGAACUACAACCUUGUAAAUUAUGUUUGCAAAAUAGGUAGUUUAGACAAGCACAGACCAUGUUAUUGAUUGGGGAUGGCGCACCAUGGUGGAAAGCCAAAAAUCCGUCAUUUUGAGCCAUCAUAUUCAACUUAAAACACCAUGGAGCUGCCAUCCUUCACAAACUGGCCGUGGCAAUAGUAAAAAAAAAAAACUGCCAACACAAUCUGCCCUGGCGCCGCAAUGGCAGAUAUUUGACUACAUUGGCAUAGAUGCAAUAAGAAACAGCAUUUUAGUUAGAGCCUUACACAAUCAAAACCAGGGUGACCAUCCAGUGACAUCCUCCUUAUGCUAAUCAUCCACAAGAAAAAGCAGGGAAUCUGUAGUUAAAUUAAAAACUCAAAACCGUGAUGAAAAUUUUGUGAAACAACUAUGUGAUCAUGUAACUUUGUUAUUCAAUAUAUUGGUUUCUCCUGAAUGAUAAAAAUCAAAGUAUUGUACACUUUUUUAACAUUCAUUUCCCAAUUACAAAUUUUCUAGCAAUAGGAAUUUGGCUAGAACUUGGUCACUGUGUAGUUUAUGCAACUAUUUGGUGCGCGCUUCGCUGGAGCAAAGCACACACUUUUAAUGUUGUCUCCUUGUUUAAUCUUUCAGGCAAUGUUGUGUUUUUAUCAAUUCUCUUAUGCUCAGUUUACAGUUGUUUUAAAGGUCUUUCCAUCUCAGUUGUGCAGACAAUAGGGAGCUCUGCUGCUGCAUUCUCAAUUUUUUCUUUCCGCCAGUUCCAGUCAUCCUUUUUAUCAAAUGAAAGGAAAAUGGUUUCCUCGGAUGCAAAAGUUCAACUGAUGUUGUAAAUGCAGUUGGCUCAACUGAUGGGAACAAAAUGCAUCUACUAAAAGAUGUUGAAUUUCUGGUAGGCAAUCUGUAAGACCACAGCUCUGAGGUUUGGGGCACAGCCUAACCUUGGAAUGAGGCAUUUUCCCUCCUCCUAAACUUUCUUUUCACCACAACAAAAAACUAAUGCUCAAACAAAUUGUAUUAAUUGCCAAGGAUGCUCUGUUUAGAUCUAAUGGACAUCUUUGACAGAGGUUUCAGCUUCUAACCAGCUCAUGGAUGCUUCCUCUGAUAUUCAGAAGAGUAAGGAACAAGUUAAAAUUCGAAUAAAACACCAUCAAAAGCUUGAUGGAAAUCCUGAAUUCAAUGAUGCAUGAAUUCUUCCAGUUUAAGCUGUCAAGGUAUGCAAUGAGGUGUAAUCUAUGGUCUCUAGAAAUGAUAGUCUAACAUCGUAUCAAUCAGUCUUUUUUUUUAGGCGAAGGCAAUGCAGCAAUGUAAGCUCUGUUGAAGUUUGCAAAGAAAGAAACUUUCAAUUGAACACUUAAGCUUAUUCAAAAACAUAUUCUAUUAUGCACAAUAGGCUUCUGUCUUUUCCUUUUCAGAUUUUAGACAUUAUUUAAUUUCCAUUUGGAAGUACUACAAUUUAACACCAUUCAUGGCUUUGCUUUUCCUCUUCACUUAUAUAUUGCAUAAUCUUGGACUGGGAAUUUCUGUCAUCCUCAUCACAACUACAGUAUACAUCUUUUAUUGGCAGUUGAUUUUGGCUGUAAUGUUGUUAGCAACGGUGACUAGGGGGGAGAAAAAGACAAAUUUGUUGCUCUAGGGUUCAUCAAAAAUGUAUCUAAUGAAUUUAGAUAUAUCACCUGAACCAUAAAUGGUACUAGUGGCCAUGCAUAUGAAGGGCAUCCAACUGCUUUUCUCUUCUCCUCGAAGAAUGACAUCUGACGCAUAUAACUCUUUCCUGAGAAAGGUGGUGGGAAUGGAGGGGGCACUUUAAGAAGUGAAGGAAUCAAACAAAAAUCAAUAAUAAUUUAAGUAGAUGAACUACAUAUGGAAAAGAGAAAAAAAAUCUUGUACAGAGUACUCUAAGAAAUGUGAUAAGCAAGCAUUCACUCUUAUUUUCUAACCAUAACAAUGAACUUGCAAAAGAAAUCACAAUCAGCUACAUCAUGAACUUGCAAAAGAAAUCGCAAUCAGCUACAUCAUGAACUUGCAAAGCAAAAUUAUGAAUUUGUAUCUUUGCUCCUAAUUAAAUUUAACAACCACUAUGCUACCAAGAGAAUGAAGCAAUGAACUAAUUGGAAUUGAGCAUAUGAUACUUACAUUUAGGGGCAAACUCUGCAAUCCUUUUAAGCUUGUGAAGUGUAAAAACAAGAGGAAAAAGCAUUACAAUUCUGAGAGCCAAAGUAGAGGAAACUAUAGUUAUCCACCUGAAGAUUCAAAUACUGAAUUAACACGAACAUUCAAUUCAGAAUCAGAGAUCGAACAGUGAAUAAAGUAGCGUUAUCAAUAAGAAAACGAGCAUUGAACCUUACCAUGGAAAUCCAGUGAGAUCGUGGUAUGAUUCAAGAAUUGAAAUCACCGCACGGAUGGGAAAAGCAGGGUUAUCUUCGCCGCCAGCACCGGCGCUGUCUGCGACUGCUUUCAGAAUCUCGGAGUGAACCGGCGAGUCGAGACCGAACGAUUCCGUCUCCAAUUCGGGGUCAUUGAAAGAGCGAGUUGAGAAAGUGCGCGUGCGGAACGCGUCGAGAGAGGCGGGGUUUGGAGAGUGGGGUGUUAAAGGAGAGGGAAGUGGGGGAGGGGGAUGAGAAGUGAGUACCCGUGGCAUGUAGAGGAGUGACGAAGGACGCGAACGGCGGAGAAGGGAACGGAGCACCGCCGCAGUUGCCAUUGACGGCGGGAGGAAGCUUUGUACUGAAGUUCGGGCGUGUUUUUUCACUUUUCCUCUUUUUUUAGUUACGCGUUUAUUUCUACGGUAGGUUUUCUGUUUUUUUUUUCAUGAAAAGUUGCAUUUUUGGUUUUUUUUUCUUGGUUUAACUAGUAAAGGAUAUCUAUUUUUUAUAAGUUUUUAAAUUAUUUAUUUUCUAUACUUGAAUAUGUAAUUUGGAAGAAAAAGUGUAACAUUUUAUUUGUCUGAAAUGAAGUUUUUGAGAAUAUUUUUUUAAAAUAAUUAAUUUUUAAAAAAAUUAUCAAAAUAACUCAUUUUUCUUACUGAUGGUCAGUUGAACUGUCGCAUUCUAUUAACCUUCAAAGGAGGCGUUCUUAGCCUUGGCGCAUGCUUGUAAAGCCAAUGCAUUUAGGCGCCACAUGUUUUGUUGCAUGCAUGCUUUGAUACCACAUGCAUAUACUACAUAGUAAAUGUGUUAAUGCAUAUGGCUAUUUCAUAUUUAUUUUUUAAAUUUUAAAUGUUAUAAUUAUAAUUAAUUAAAUAAAAUACUGAAAUUAAAAAUUAUAUUAUAUUAUAAAGAAAAAAUACAUAGAAUUGACAAGAAAUUCAAUGACUCGCCCGAUUGAAACGCCUUUAUGUUCCACAUCCAGGUGCGUUAGCCUGUCUUCGAGGUAUCUCACGAUUUUCUUGAGGUGUCUGAGGUCUUUUAGUGCUGACAUGAUUCAAUGGUGGCUGGUGUGAAGGUCUGGUGGAAGAUCCAGCGGUAUUUGAUAGACUUUUCAUCAUUUGUCCCCAAUAGUUUGGGGUGCUGUCGCCAACGGUGCUUCCAUAAUUUAGUUUGGUGUCCAUGUUGUUGUAGUUGGGUCGUUGUGGUUUGGUGAAUUAUGGACGGUAUGGUUGCCCGAAUUUGGAUAUUGAAUCGGUUUGGAAACGAAGAAAUGGUUCCUGGGGUGUACUAAAGUCAAACAAUGGUUAGGUGUUGUGGCGAUGGGAUGUUUGGGUGUUCAUUGGUGGUGGACUACGAUGGCAUGACGCUGAAUCGUAUGAAUCAUUUGGACUAUAGACUAUUGUGGUGGUUGUGUAUGGUUGUUGGUGGUUAGGGUUUAUUUCUUGGUUUUGAGUUUGGGUGUGUGGCAUGAAUUGGUUGUGAGAUUGGGUGUUUGGUUGUUGGGUGUAUAUGGUAUGGUGAUGGUGUGAGGUUGGUCAUUGGGUCUGGGUGGGUUGACAUUAUUCUUGGACGGGGAUUUGUUAUUGGGCGUAUGACGACGAAGCUCGUUGGCGUGGAUCAAUCAAAUACCUUGGCUCAUACACAAAUUGUGGCGUUGUAACCGACCUAAACCAUGUCAUAUAAUGCUGAGUUGGUCUAGCACCCUGUAUGACUGGUUCGUUUAAGAUGUGUUAUCGUUGAUUCCUCCAAUUACGACACAUCUAUUUUACAAAGUAUCUCCAGUCGGAAUAAUCCCCUUAGCCAUCGACUUUUUAUUGAUGUCAAUCUCUCAAACACGUCGGAUGUUCUGGAAUUUGUUGUUGCAUGCCGAACUGCAGUUUUAUAUGGUCACUCUAGUGCAUCUCCACGGUAGUGAACCGGAUAAUUGGUGUUUUAUUGUCCAAACUGCAGCAUCAUCGUGGUUAACCUGAUGAUCAAGACCCAAAUAUGGCCUUCAGAUAAACUAUACAAGAAUAUGACAUGAUUAGAUGAUAUGUAAUUGGAUAAUUUUUUUUAAAAUUAAAUGUAGAGUUGUGUAGUAGUAUUACAUCGUCUGGUUCAAUGUGGUCUAAUAGAUUACGAUAGACUACUACAGCGUGUUUCUGACACCUAUUGUAGUUCAUUCGUUUAACUGACCACCUAGAUCGAAAAGAUUUGAAAAAUAUUAUUUACAGUUAGUUGUAAUAUAAAGUCUAAUAAAUUAGAUGGUAAAAUUUUAAACUUACUUUGUUACAAAGGGGAAUAUGAAUGGUUUCUCGUUUACCAGGGCAAGUGACGGAAUUCUUGACCAACCUCAUGCUUGCAGCAAAUAGGCGCAUGAAUAAAACAUACAAGUAAAUUUUUUUGGCAUUUUUACACAACGCACUAUAUAGAUGGGACAAUUUGUCAUUAGCGACAAUUCGUCGUUAAAGGUGAGUACAAUAAUCUCGCAUAUUGUAAAACAAUACAACUAUACUCCAUCAUACAUGAAAGCUUGGAUAGCUAUGACAAAUGCGGUUGAAAAAAUGUAUGACAAUUGGGAGGAGUCUUACAAAUAACUUCCAAAACAUUUGGUGGCUCUUAAACAGUAUGCUUUAGGGACUAUUGUCAAUUUGGAAACGUUGUCGGCGUAUACCCCAGACGAGACUUAUGCUACUGGAAAUGGAAUAUUCCACAGACUCUUUUGGGUGUAUCAACCAUGCAUCAAAGGUUUUGCUUUCUAUAAACCUAUUAUACAAAUUGAUGGUACAUGGUUGUACGGGAAAUAUAAAGGAAUGCUACUGAUGGUAGUGACACAAGAUGGCAACAACAACAUUUUUCCAAUCGCUUUUGCCCUAGUUGAAGGGGAGACUGCUGAGGGAUGGAGUUUUUUCCUAAAAAAUCUCUAAUUGCACGUUGCUCCUCAGCCUAACUUAUGUUUGAUCUCUGGCUGACACUCUUCAAUAGUGAGUGCCUACAAAAACAUUGAUAAUGGUUGGCAAGAUCCUCCGUCGACGUAUGUCUACUGCAUUAGACAUAUCACUCAAAAUUUUAUGUGGGAGAUCAAAGAUAAAACAUUGUGGAAGAAGGUUGUCAACGCAGGGUAUGCAUUAACAAAACCUUAUUUCAAACACUACCGUGAAGACAUCACAUUGUCAAACGCGGAUACAAUAUAGUGGAUUGAUAGUAUUCCAUUUGAGAAGUGGACUAGGGCAUACGACAACGAUCAAUGUUGGGGCCACAUGACAACAAAUCUUGUGGAAUCAAUUAAUUCUGUCUUCAAAGGCAUCUGAAACCUACCUAUAACCGCUUUAGUGCAAGCAACCUAUUCUAGGCUAGGGGCACUGUUUGAGACCAGACGUUCCAAAUGGAGUCCGGUGUUACAAUCUAGGCAGUUGUUCAAUGAUGCUUUAAUGAAAUUCAUUAGACACGAAGUUGUAAAAGCUAACACACAAGUGGUCACGGUGUUUGACCGUACUAAAGGUUGGUACAAUAUUGCUGAGUCCAUGAAUUACAAUGAAGGCAUGUUGAGGGAACAAUAUAGAGUGGAACUAGAUAGAGGUUAGUGCGACUGUGGAAAGUUCCAAGUCUUUCGUAUGCCCUGCUCCCAUGUCAUAGCGGCAUGUUCAAAGGUUCGACGAGAUCCAUCUUACUUACUCUAUGACGUUUACAAAGUCAUAAGAUUCUCCAAUGUGUACAAAAUUAGUUUUUCAGUGGUAGCAAAAGAGGAUUACUGGCCUGAAUAUCAAGGGGACAUUCUCUGACACAAUGAAGUAAUUCGAAGAAAGAAAAUGGUUCGAUUAUGUAGUUCAUGUCUCCAGGCCGGUCAUAAUCGUACUAAUUGUCUCGAUGCUGGAACAAGCACAACAAGACAAUUUUAAUUGUAACUCUUUUGCUUUAUAUUAAAAAUAACAUUUAUUUCAUAUGAUAACUUUGUGAGGAAAUACCAUCACAAACAAAUACAACACACAAGUAACACAUAAACAACAACACAACAAACUACAAUAGAUAAAAUGCCAUUACUAUAACUAUGCGAUUACAACCAUCAAAAUAAUUUUGAACAUAAUAUACAUCAUCCUGUGAACGUCUAUGUCAGUCUUAAUAUCCACUCAUACACGGACUUCUCCAUUUCGGUUGAACGUGGACUUAAGCCAUUGAAUUCUUCUAAUCCUUUCACCCUUUGCAAUUUCUCCAUCUAACCAACGGUUCAACGUCCGAUUAAUAUGUUCGGACGAUUCUAUAUUCUAAAAUCGAUUCUUUAUCGGAGGUUGCAUUGCUGAAAAGAUUAAAUUGGCAUUUCUCUUUUGAAUGUAUUCAUACAUGGUUAAAGAAAACAAAAUGGAAGGAGGGUAAAAAAUUGUGUGAAAAAACAUGGGAGAUGUGCAUGGUAUUUAUAGAUGAACACAUGCAUGCAUGCACCAAUGCCUUAGGCGCCACACAACAUAACACAUGCAUGCGCCAAUGCAUGUGGCGCCUAUAUGCAUUGGCUUUGCAAGCAUGUACUAAGGCUAAGGGCACCUCCUUUGUAGGUCAAUUGGAUGCGCUAGUUCAACUUGAACUAGCGCAUCUGUAGGGAAAAGUGGUUAUUUUAGUUGGUGUUUUUUGAAAAUUUGAUUAUUUUGGGAUUUAAUUUUUAAAAAAAUGAUUAUUUAAAAAAAAUAGCUUUUGAUAUUAUUUAUUAUUCUUGUUAUUUAAAUUACAUGAUUAGAGAAAUAUAAACAUUAAUCUCAAUAUGAAGUUACUAACAGGGUAAUAAAAUAAUUUAUCUUAAAACAAACAUUUAAACACCUAAAUAACAUAGACAAAGUAUCAUAAAUUUUCAACAUUAUUUUCACCAAUCUUCCUUCUUUGCUUUCUGACCAGCUUAAGGUAUACUAUCUCUGAAGCAGACUGAUAAUGAAAAAUUAAGAUAUCAUCAACCUUAAAAUUUUUGGAUUUUACAUACUCAUACCUACUAUUUUUAAGAUACAUCUCAGUAUGUGAUCUUUUUCCUUUAAGAAUUAUGUCAUUUCGUCGAGGUCCGUCAAGGUUAGAACAUUUUGGUAUGCACGUAGGCCGUUCCUAACAAUCUCAGUUGGAAAAUGCUAAAAUAUUUGAAUGUUCAGUCAAUUUACACAUAGGCAAAAUGUUUGCAAAAAAUAUUAAAAAGAAACACAUGUAAAUGCAAUUCAAUAUUUUAUAUGAAUUAUUACCAUGACAUUUUUUCUGCCAUUUGAUCCUCUUGUGAUUUCUUUCUCCCCGAAAUAUUUAUAACUUAUUCUCGUUUAUAAAAAUAAUUGUAUGAAUUUUUUUCAUUUAUAAAUAUAUUUAUAAUUUUUUCUCGUUUAUAAAAAUAAUUGUAAUUUAUCCCCGUUUAUAAAAAUAAUUGUAUUAAUAUGUAGACUUUUUUUCCAUUUAUAAGCGCCUUGAACCCGGGUGUCCAUUUAUAAAAAAUAUUUGUAACUUAUUCCCGUUUAUAAAAAUAAUUGUAUCAAUAGUUGAAUUUUUCCCCUUUAUAAAAAUAUUUGUAAUUUAUUCUCAUUUAUAAAAAUAAUUGUAACGUAUUCCUAUUUAUAAAAAUAACUGUUUCAACAGGUAGACUUUUUCCCGUUUAUAAGCGCCUUAAACUCGUGUGUCUAUUUAUAAAAAUAUUUGUAACUUAUUCUCGUUUACAAAAAUAAUUGUAUUAAUAGAUAAUAAUCAUAUAAACUUUAAUUUAUAAAGUUGUCCAUUAAUUGAGGCCAGGUUUUUUAAAAUAGAUGGUAAUAUUUUUAAUUUUAAUGUGUUCCAUUUUAUUAUAAUGAAUAUAAAAACUUUUCAAUCUGAUUAUUCUAGGUAAAUAAAUUUUUAUCAAUCAUCUUUUUUUUAUGAUUACCAUUUAAUAAAAUUUUACUUUUUAUUGUAUUACAAUAAUAGAAAUAAAAUUUUAUUUUUUAUUAAAUAAAGUCAUACCAUUUUUUAAAUUAUUCAUAUUUUUUUACUUUUAAAUUAUUUCUUUAAAUGACAAAAUGAAUUUUUUUAAUAAUAAAUAUACUGAUUUUUUAAGUGGUCUUUCUGAGAUGUCAAACCGAGAAUAUGAAAAGAGGGAGAAGUAAUAUGAAACGGUUUGAUGAAAGAUUAGGGUUUUAUUUAUUGAAUUUAAAUUGGAUAUUUAUUAUUAUUAUUAUUGUAUUUAUUAAUAUUUAUUAUCAUCAUUAUUAAUCUCAUUUACCCACUUAAUAACUCAAAAUAUUCCAAAACCACUAUUCCAAAACCACUGACAAUAUUAUACCAUUUUAACUAACUCUACCAUUUUAUAAUUUAAUAAAAAUAUAUAUUUAAUUGUAUAAUUAUAUGUUAUUAAAUUAUAACUUUAAAUUAAAAAUAACUAUUUAAUCACUACGCCAAAUAAGGGAAAAAGAGGGCGCUUUUUUUGACAUAUAACAGCGCUUUAAAGCGCCCUCUAAUCUGGCGCUGGCAUAGGUAAAGACAGCGCUUUUUUUCCUGGUGAAAGCGCUCUCUAAAGUGACUCUUUAAGCCCUUUAAGGGCCACUUUAGAGGGCGAUUUUUAAAGAAAGCGUCCUCUAAAGUGGAAACUUUUAAGGGUUUAGAGGGCGCUUUUACUGGAAAGCGCCCUCUAAAGUGGAAACCUUUAAGGGUUUAGAGGGCGCUUUUACUGGAAAGCGCCCUCUAAAGUGGAAAUUUAAAGGGUUUAAGGCGCUUAUUUUGAAAGCGCCUCUAAAGUGGGUGGUUUAUGUUAACGUAUUCACUGCAUCACAUGUCUUGUGACCAUAUCAUUCACGAGUUAUGUUGCAAGCCACAACGAGGUAACCAGAAGAAAAUGGCUACAGCUGCUUUGUUAUAAUUCACUGAAGAGCAACUAAAGGUUCUUUUUAUGCUUUUAGUAUAUAUAAAAUACAAAUACUGAUAUAUGCUUAUUGUUUUAUAAUGAGUCCUCUUGCUAUUUGAAAUGUCUGAACCGAAACCCAUGCUUACUCUAAUUGAUGUACUAAUAACAGCCUCUUUAUUUAUUUGUUAUAAUCAAUCAUCACACUGUUUGGUAUUUUCAAUAUUUACAACGACCAAAGAGCACAAAAAUGAAUUGAGUUGAUUCAGAAAAAAAAAAUAGAAUGUCAAUACAUGAUGAACACUACUGAAGUGCUACUCGAAAGAAACUUUCAUCUGAAAAACUGUUGUAUUUCUUCAAGAGUUUUUCCCUUUGUCUCGGGACCCAAAUGACAACAAAUCCUGCGUGUAAAACCACACUGCAGUAUAUAUUGUGAAGGUUCCUGAUAAAAAUAGAAGCUUCUGGUUAGAACAAUAGAUAUUUUAUAGAAAAUUUAACAUAGGCAAUGCACACAAACCCCGAACUCCAAUCCAAAGCAAAUUUGUUGUAAUGAUAAAACCAGGAAGAAACAUUGGCAAGGUGUUGCAGAAACUUCCAGUAGGCUUUGAUUUAACGAAGAAUUCUAUUAUUAAAUAUAUAUUCAACAUCAGCCCUCAUAUCACAUUAUAUUACAACAAAGGUUUGGUUCAUUAGGGUUGUAUGGCUAUAUAUUUGAAGAAAUUGGUACCUCAGACAUUAAAUCCAUGACAUUGCCUCCUAAUCCAGAGAAAAUGCAAUAUACGAUGCCUGAAGGAACUUGAAAGUUUAUAAUAUGAAUUAGGGCGAAACAAAAAUAGACCUCAUUUAUGUAUAAAGUGUAUUUACACACCAACCACAUGCCAGCCGAUAGAGGCUCAAUUGGCAUAUAUAAUCAGAAUCUGGUGAGUUAUAUCUCUGAGAGCAAUUCAACAUAAAAGAUAUUAUCCAUUAUAAUAAAACCAAAACAUAUAUAAGAAGAAUUUACUGAUAUAUAAUCCUGUGAAUCUGUGUUCAAAUUUCUGAACAUUUUGCAUGAAUGCAUGUGUAAUAUCUAGUUAUGUAUUAUGUAUAUAUAAAAAUAAACAAAAAAAAUGUUCAAAAAAUAUAAAACAAACAAAUUAUUAUUACCUUCAGUAGAAUGAUAUUGAAACAACCAACAGACUCAAAGCCAUUGCAGAUGAAGAAACCUGCAAUAGGAGAUUUGAUUAAUCUUUAUUCCCUCCAACAAAAUAGUAAUGUGAAUGCAAAAUUUUCGAAAAAGCCUCAGACUCACAAUAAGUAAAAGCCGGGACCAGAUUUGUCUGUAACCACAAAGUUAAAAUCGUAGCAAGACCUAAAUGCAUGUAAUAUUGUUCAGAUUAUGGUCUGAUAAAUAUGAACCAGAAAAAUGAAACAAAAAGAACAUAGCGAACGUCAGAAGAGAAACCAAGUAAUAUGAAGAUUAGAAAAAUACCUAUGGUGUCAAAUCGAACACUAACAACGAAUUAAUAGAGAAGGAACGUCGUAGAUCUAACAGAGGUGGAAGGAGACGCUUAGAAGUAGCGAACAAUCGUGCAGUGAGAACCCUAACGUGAAAAAGAACGAAAAUAACAGAGAGUAAAAAAUAAAAAACGCGCCGUAUGUUCUAAUUUUAAUGUUUACUAAAGGGACCUUAGAGGCGCUUGUGGAAAAAAGUGCCAUCUAAAGGGGCCUAAGAGGGCGCUUAUGAAAGCGCUCUCUAAGGCUUCCAAAAGCGCUUAUAACUGGAAAUGCACAUGACUUAUAGACGCUUUUUUAAAAGCGCCUCUAAGGGAACCUAGAGGGCCUUUCUAAAAAGCGCCCUGUAUUGUUGUCCCUCAUCUUCCUCUUUUUUUUCGCUUCACCUUAGAGGGCGCUUUAUUACAAAGCGCCUCUAAAGUGCGCUGUCUAUUCCAGUUGUUCGCUCCUUAUUUUUUCGCUUCACUUUAGAGUGCGCUUUUGUAAUAAAACGCCUCUAAGGUGCGUUGUCUAUUCCAUUUUUGGCGUAGUGAAUAUAGUUGAUUAUAUUAUUGAGUAAUUUAACUAUUAUGUUAAUUUACCUACCAAUAAUUAUUAUUAUUGUAUAUUAUUAUUGAUAUUUACCCGCCAUAUAUGAAAGAAUAUUUUUAAAAUUUAAAUAGUAUAUUUAUUAUUUGAUUUGAUUUAAUUGAGAUCCAAACUCUAUAAAUUAAAAUCGGUUACUUAUAUGAACAAUAAUAUAGGGUCAUUCCAAUGUCAAUCUAUUAUAAUUGAAUUUUACAUAGAUGUAAUUUUGCAAUAACACGCUGGCAUAUUGAAUCUAUACCGCUGUUAUCUUUGCACUAACAAUUUUUAUCCUUUCACAGAAUAAUUAUAGUAAAUACGUACAUUCUGUAUACCAAAUUAUAAUAAAAUGUAUUAAAAUCAAAAGCAAUAACUGUUUACAGUAAAUAAAAAUAUAGAAUAACAUCUUAAAUUCUAUUCUAUUUGAUUUCAUUUACUUAUUACUAAUUUAUUUAUUAUAUAAAAAUAAUCAAAUAAAAUUUUAAAUAUAUGUUGUGUCAUUAGCAUUUAUUUCAACUUUUGAUUUAUUAUUGAUUUUUUAUUUCAAUGAUUUUUCUUUAAUAUUUAUGAUCAUGAAGAAAUUAAACUAUAUUUUUAUUUCUAUAAACAGUUUUAUUGCUUUUAUUUUAAUACAUUUUUAUUAUAAUUCGGUAUACAGAAUGUACGUAUUUACUAUAAUUAUUCUGUUGAAAGGAAAAAUAUGUUAGUGCAAAGAUAACAGCGGUAUAAGAUUCAUAUGCCAGCGUGUUAUUGCCAAAUUACAUCUAUGUAAAAUUCAAUUAAUAAUAGUUGAUUGGAAUAACCUAUAUUAUUGUUCAUAAUAAGUAACUGAUUUUAUUUAUAGAGUUUGGAUCUCAAUUAAAUUAAAUCAAAUCAAAAUAAAUAUACUAUUUAAUUUUAAAAUAUAUCUUAUCAUAUUCGCGGGUAAAUAUCAAUAAUAAUAAAAUAAUAAUAAAUUAAUUGGUAGGUAAAUUAACAAUAAUUAAUUACUCAAUUAAUAUUAAUCAACUAUAUUAAAUAUUUAUUUUUAAUUUAAAGUUAUAAUUUAAUAACAUAUAAUUAUACACACAAACGAUGUUAUAUAUGUGUAACAUCAAAGGUUGGAUCUUCUUCAGCAUUUUGCCACAACCUCUAUCAAAUUUAUAUACUCUUUUUUUUUCAGGUUAUAGGUUGUAAUUUUAUAGUCAUCUAAAUUUGCAGUUACAUUAAUUUUGAAUUUUUUUCAGUGAAAAUGAGUAGAAAGGUUGAUUCUGUGAAAGACAUCAAUGACUCAAAAGAAACUUGGCGUCUGCUGUUCGAAUAAUAGAUGUUUGGAGUGUUGUGAAUAAUAAGGGUAUUGAACAUUGGAGAUGAUUGUUAUGGAUUCUUGGUAAAUUGCUUUUCUUUUUUAAGUAUAGAUUUUUGUAUGAUAGUUAGUAUUACAAAAAAUGCUUUUUUGUAUAACAUAUAAAAAGAAGAUUAUUUUCAUUUUGUUAGGGUGACGGAUUCAGGUCCUUAUUCGUCAUGACCAUUACUGAAAUGGAAAGAGUCAUUAAGGAAAAUAUGACCUGCAUUAUAAACAAUGGCAGUGUCUAUAACAAUGAUUUUCAGUGGAAGGUAUUGAUCAUUCAAAAAAAUUGUGUUUCUUGGUGGUACCACAUGAAGGCAAUCGAACUUCAAAUAUUCACCUAAAGGAUUUUCUUUAAAGAUUUGGUGAGAUACUUCAAGGCAAAUGCAAAACCGAUAGACUGGAGGUAAUUUAAAUUCUAUUAUACUUAUAUAACUUAUAUAUUUGCAACACAUUAAUAAUGAACCUUACUUUAAUGUAGAUAUUAUUGGUGCUGUUAGUGAGAUAAACCAUAUCCAAUCCAACACUCCGGGAAAGAAGUUGUUGUUUCUGUUGUGCUGAAAGAUUUAAGUAAUGCGCAUUGUUUUCAUAACUUAUGUGUUUGAUAAAUUUAUAUAUUUUGCAUCACUGAAUCCCAUCAAUAUAUUGUUAUUUAUAUUGCAAAAUAGGGGUAAUUGCAUAAUUGCAAUUUAUGGGAAAUCUAUGGACUUAAAAUUUUGGCUUACUACAAUGUCCUACAAACAUGGAGGCUAUUAUAAAUUCUGCUCACUCAUGCAAUGGUAAAGAGAUGACCAAGGAUUACACUAUCAGACCUUUAUAAAUACAUAGCUGAUUUGUACUUUUCAUUAUACGUUCAAUAAUUUUUUAUUUAAUUAACAAUUUAUAGUGUCAAAUGCAGGAUGGAUUACAAAUGUUGAAAAAUGAAGACAUCCCUGAAAUUCAAGGUUUUAUGUCUAAAGUAUGGAUUUUAUUUAUUUUUUAUAUCAAAUUAUUAUACAUAAUUUUUAAUUUCAAAAACAAUCUUAUUUCUAAUAGGUUGCCUACUAAUGAACAGAAGGAGAACCUACUCAAUCUGCAAAAUCUCUUCUAAUUGGUCUGGUGGUUCUCAGUAUUCGCCAGUAGAAAGGUUUGUUGCAUAAUGCGAAAUAGUAUGUCCUUAAGUCAGUUCUGGCAAAAUCAACAUGUAAGUUGAAUACUAUAGAGCCAAAUUAUCUUACUAUUACAAUUAUAUUGUUUGCUUUUUGAAAUUAAUAUCAUUUUUUAUUUGCUUUUAGGAAACUUUAUGUUGUUAGUGUAGCAACCCCAUUGAAUUUGCUGUCUCAAAGUAUGGAUGGUUUUAUUAUGGCUGCACAGAAUGUUCUUCGAAAGCACCUAAUCCUGAAAAGCUAUGAACGUUCAUGUGGGCAAAAAGUCGAACAACCUAUACCAAGGUACAUAUAAUCUAGAUGAAUUGCAAAUAAAUUUGGUAAUGGAUUUGUUAUUAAUCAUAUUAUUUUCUUCGUUUAAAAUAUCAUAGGUACGAUUGAGAUAUAUGUUAGCAAUGGUGAAUAUAAUCGAUUUGUAUUCUGGGAUUAGAAUGUGCUGCUAUACUUGAAUGACUGCUGAAUUAUGCAUACUCUAUGGUGGAGGUACAUUUGUUAUACAUAAGUUAAAAUGUUAUAGUUUAUCGAGUUAUAAAGUUCAGAUUAUCACUCAUGGUUGAUAUUUUAUUUUUCCUUUAGAAUGGAGAAGAUGAUCCAAUGUUUUUAUCCUGAUGAGCUUGAAAUGCUGUUGAAUAAGAAAAUGGCUUUUAGAGUUAAGGUGCAGCAACGUUUUCCCAAGCGUCUGUUUGGAAGCUUAUGAGAUGAAUCAUUUUUAAAGAGAUUGAAAAUGACUACAUAGUAGAAGACGUAUAAUAUUCACCUUAAUUCAUGUAUUAUUUAAACAUUUACAAGUAUAAUAAAUAUUCGAUGUUUCAAUGUGCAGAAUCAGUCUAAAACUGAAUAUGCAAAGUUGGUCCCUAACAAGAAAUUUGGAAACUUCCUGCAGUAAGUAUCUUCAUUUGUUAACAUAAUAAUUUUUAUGAUAAAUAUUAUUUAUUAUAAUUCAUUUAUAUCUGACAAUUAAUUUUUUAUAUUGCAAGCAAACAUUAUCUGCAUCUGGUGAAAAUGAUCCAGAAUCAAUCAUUCUAAUGACUCCGGCUAAGGAUUUGUAAUUGCUGACAAGGGUGAAGAAAUUGAUUUUGAAGCGUCUGGCGCUACGCAAUUAUCAAGCACAACCAUCCAAGAAAUUAAAGAUAGAAUCAUCUUCUUAAUUAGAAUUUUCGGAAAUUUGAUAUUGAAAUAUAUUUUAUAAUUUUAGCACCAGAAUGAGUUAAGUAUGAAGUUGUUAAGAACAUGAUAUGUUUUUGUUGUAGGAUGUGUUCUUACUUUUUGAAGUGUUUAUUUUGUGAGAUUACAAUUGACAUUUAUAUUUCAUGUAGGUUUAAAGGAUGAUAAUGAGUAUUAAUUCAUGUGUGUGAAAUUAUUCAAAAUCAUAUGUUGUUAUGUUGAACAUUGUGUUUUGUGUGUUCUUUCAACUACAAAAUUUAUAUGAUUAUCAUAUCUUCAAAUUGUUAAUAAGUAUUUUAGAUUGAUAACAAAAUACGUUGUCAUCUUAUGAAAUAGUGUAUACGACUAAAUUAAAAUAGAUUAUUGCAUGUCAUGUUUGGUUUCAGCAUGCCUAAUGAUGUUAGAAAUUAAAAAAAUAAUUACAUAAAAAUUAUUAUGAAAUCCUUCAAAACUAAUUAUAGAAAACACAUAGAAACACAUUUUUUUUACAAUUUUUUCAAAGUCUAAUACAUAUGUUAAAAUUGCAGGUAGUUUCAGAAAUGUUGGAGCAAUGUUUGAAUCUUGCAUUCACUGAAUUAAGGAUUUAUAAAAAAACAAGGGAUAGUUAUCAUAUACAGUGAAUUGUCUUUUGAUUGUAAUGGAAAUCUACAUUGUUUGUUUGAAAUGAUUAAGUUAAACAUGCAACUAUACUUUUUACCAAUAUCACGUCAUCAUAUAUAGUAUUAUAACUCAACAUAUUUAAAUAUUUUAUUUGCCAAAAUAUAGUUGGGGUUGAAAUGAAUAAUUAUGUCCACUGCCUCCUUUCUAUUGGCUAGGUCAGUGGAGUAUUAAAUAAUUCAGCCGUAAGAUAAUUAAUGUUAUGCAUGAUUUGUAAUAAAUCAAUAAGAAUAUCAAUUCUUUAUACAUUUAGUUGUACAAGAAUGAUUGUAAAUAAUUAAGUGGGUUAAGAAAUGGCCCCCACUAAAUCCCACUAUAUAUUAUAUAAAAUAUAAUUAAAAAAUUGAUUCAUAUAUCAAAUACAUUAAAGAGAGUUUUUCAUUGGGUAAGAUGAUGUAUGAUAUGAGUAAUUUCCAAUGGGUGAUUAUUUUAUGGAUUUGGGAUAAAAAAGAAUUUGAAAUCUUGAAUUAUGGUUGUGAAUUGGAAUAAGAGGUGGAUUUCAAAAAUAUGGGGUGUUUUGUUGAUUUGGGAUACAAAGAGGACUUCCAUCAUUUUUGCAUAAAAUUGGAGCAUGUGUUAUGUUGAUUGAGGUUCAUUUUCAAAUGAAAUGUGUACACAAAAAUUAAAAUUAAAUAAAAUAAAUUGUAAAAUUUAGACUAGAUGUAGGUGAAAAAUGUGAUAAAAUAAAUUACCUAUUAUAAACUACUAAAAAUAUUACCGUUAUUUUAUUGUUGUUGCAACUUAUCAUUCCAAAAUGAAAUCAAUAUCCUGAAAUCAAUUAGUAUUAUUGUAGUUUUUAAGGUUGCGGGCAGGUUUGAAUCAUCACUUCCUAAAAGGUUACGGGAAGGUUUUGUAUAAACCCAGUUUUUAAGGACCAAAGAAUUGUACGAAGUUAAAUCAUUUUGUUGCUGGACUUAUUUCUCACAAUUUUAAUAAAAUUGUGAACCUUUUGUUCAAUCAUCUUUUGUUGCAUUAAACCUUACUGUAAUAAUUGCAAUUAAUUCCAACAUUUGGUAUAUUCAUUACUAUAUUUUAAAUAAAUGAGGUUCUGGUAUUUCUUUUACAUGGUUUAGUAUUUGGAAAAUUUCAUCCAUUACUAAAUAAAUAUAUUUUUAUUUCUUAUGUCCAAAAUCUCAAUGAUAAAUGAAUGUUUAUUCAUAAACAUUAACAAUGGAAUGUUUAUUAUAUAUCAAUAUAUCAAUAAAUUGUAAAAUAUUUUUGUAUUAUAUUUUUUAAAUUAUUCCUAAUAUAGUAUAAAAAAAAUUAAGCAAAUUAUAUUACUAUAAAUUAUAAUGUUUUACUUUUAUGUCCCAAACUGGAAAAGUUAUUUGUGGAAAUUUUUUGAACCCAUUUAUUGAUCUUUAACAUCCAUUAUAUUAAAAAAACUUUUAUGCAAUAAAUUUUGUGUACGUGAUCCACCCAUAUAUAUAUAUAUAUAUAUAUAUAUUAUAUAUAUAUAUAUAUAUAUAUAUAUAUAUAUAAUAUAUAUAAUAUAUAUAUAUAUAUAUAUAUAUAUAUAUAUAUAUAUAAUAUAUAUAUAUAUAUAUAUAUAUAUAUAUAUAUAUAUAUAUAUAUAUAACACAAAAGAUAUUUUUUUAAUUUUUUUAAAAUAAAUUAUUGCACUUGCGCGACCCGUGCGAACGCACGGGUCCUUUACUAGUUUAUAAAAAAUAUUUGUAACUUAUUCUCGUUUAUAAAAAUAAUUGUAUCAAUAGUUGAAUUUUUCCCGUUUAUAAAAAUAUUUGUAAUUUAUUCUCAUUUAUAAAAAUAAUUGUAACGUAUUCCUAUUUAUAAAAAUAAUUGUUUCAACAGGUAGACUUUUUCCCGUUUAUAAGCGCCUUAAACUCGUGUGUCUAUUUAUAAAAAUAUUUGUAACUUAUUCUCGUUUACAAAAUAAUUGUAUUAAUAGAUAAUAAUCAUAUAAACUUUAAUUUAUAAAGUUGUCCAUUAAUUGAGGCCAAGUUUUUUAAAAUAGAUGGUAAUAUUUUUAAUUUUAAUGUGUUCCAUUUUAUUAUAAUGAAUAUAAAAACUUUUCAAUCCGAUUAUUCUAGGUACAUAAAUUUUUAUCAAUCAUCUUUUUUUUAUGAUUACCAUUUAAUAAAAUUUUACUUUUAUUGUAUUACAAUAAUAGAAAUAAAAUUUUAUUUUUUAUUAAAUAAAGUCAUACCAUUUUUUAAAUUAUUCAUAUUUUUUUACUUUUACCUUAGUAUUUUAAUUUUUCAAUUAUUUAUUUUUAAUUUAUUAUAAAAUGGUUUUAUAAUUCUAAAUUAUAAAAUCAAAAUAGAAUUUUUUAAUAAAAGUUAUUCCAAUUUAUUAUUAAAUAAUAUAAAAUUAUUACAAUAUAUUACAAAUCUAAAAUUAUAGAAAAAUAAAAUACAUUAAUAGUAUAUUUAUUAAAAUUAAUUAAAUUUAAAGAUUAAAAUAGAAAUUGAAAAAGAAAAAAUUGAUUAAGGAAGAUCAAUGUGUAAUUUCUAAAAUAUUGUUAACUCAAUUAAAAAUAUUCUUAAUUUAUAUAAUUGAAUUAAUCAACAUAUAGUUAACUAAAUUGAAUCGAUCAGUGUAUAGUUAACAUUUUAUAUUGUUUAAUUAGUCUCAAAUUUUGAUUUUAAUUAUCUUAAAAUAAAAAUUGUAUUAAAUUGAUACGUUUAGUAAUAAUUGAUCAUUUUAAUUGAUUUAAUAUUUUAUAAAUUUAAUGGUAUGAUUUGUUAUAAUGAGCAAAUUUUUAAUAAAUUUUAAAAAUUAGCAACAAAAAGAACAUUAACUUAGAAUAUGACAUUCUAAGAUAAUGAAUCUUUACAAAAAAAUAAAUAUAUUCUAAGAUAAUGAAUCUUCAUACAAAAAAAUACAUCGAUACUUUAAUUCAAGUCAUAACAACUUAACAAAAAUCUCACAAUUAACAUUCACACUACUUAGCAAAACACUACAUACAUAUAAUUGAUGGUAUAUGAUUCAGUUUUAAACAUGGAGAUCAAAAUUGUUCUUCCUCGAGGCAUGUAAAACCCCAUUUAAAACGCAUUUUUGUUACAGUAAUCAAUUGGUGAAACUGAACUGUUGUUGUUGUUGAAUUAUAAUUCUUUAUAUCAAAGCAAGUUGGUCGACAGAAGCAAAGGAAGUGUCGAAUCACCUAGUGUGUUGAGUUAUGUUAUUGUGUCGAAGUGUCGAAGCAUGUUGUUUCAUACAGGAUUUUGACUUAGGCCUAUUUUAGUAGUAUUAAAUAUUUUGGACUUUUAUAGUUUUGGGUCUUGACUUAGUGAGCAAGCUAACUUAAAUCUAUAAAUAGAUAAAGUAACUUUUAUUCUUGUAAAUGAAGUGAAUAUAGUAUUUAAUAUUGUAUUAUUUUGUAGUUGCAAAGUGAAUAAGAAGUUUUCCACAAUUUGUGGGUAGAGAGACACUCUGCAGAAUAUUCUUCUUAUCCUUCAUCGUUCUUUAUUUUCUUUCUCCAUUGCUCUUCUCCUUUUCAUUGUUAUUGUGUUGGGUAAUAAUAAUCUUGUUCAUCAAGAUUGAUUGGAAUUCUCCAUAGAUUAUGGUGGAUUUCCAACAUCUGAUAUUAAGAGCUCCGGUUUAAACGAUUCAUGGGAAGAAAAUCCUGAUGGCAAUAAAUCAUCCAAAUGGGCAUUUUCCAGCAAAUAUUUUGAUUCUCUAGAACAAUAAUUAUGAGAAUUGGUGCAAGCAGAUAAAGGUUAUGUUAUGUUAUCAAGAUCUUUGGGAUCUUGUGAAGAAAAGAGUAAUAACGCUUGUAGAAAUCGCGACAGAUCAAUAAAAGGCUACACAUAAAAAAAUUGAAGAAGAAAGAUUAUAAAGCUUUCUUUAUAAUCCAUUAAUAUGUUGAUGCAAAUAACUUUGAAAAGGUUAGUGAUGUAGAGUCAACGAAAGAAGCAUGGGAAAUCCUGGAGAAAACGUUCGGAGGCGCGAAGAAGGUGAAAGAGGUGAGGUUACAGACUCAUAAAAGGACGUGUGAAUUGCUUCAGAUGGAAGACAAUGAAAGCAUAAUUGAUUUCUUCACUAAGGUUACGAAACUGGUGAAUUAAAUCAAGGUAUGUGGAAAAGUGUUGACAUCAAUAUCUGUUGUUGGAAAGUUCUUAAGGUCGUUGGCUCCAAAGUUCAACCACGUGGUAGUAGCCAUAUAAGAGUUGCAGGAAAGUCGAAGAGUGAUAUGGCUUUGUAGGCGCAAUCAGCAAAAGAAAGAAAAGACAAAGGAAAUGGAAACAAAGGCAUAUGAGGUUACAACAAUUCGAAUGGUCGAAAUCAACAAGAAGGAAACUGGUUGAAUCAGAGAAAACUCUGGAACCAAGGCAACCAAAGAGGUGGUGUUGCGGGUAGAGGAAGAGGUGGUGGUCAAAAGACAGACAAGAGUUACAUCCAGUGUUACAAUUGUCAAAAGUAUGGUCAUUAUUCUAGUGAUUGUCCAGAAAAGCAAAAAAAUCAAGAAACUUAUGCAAAGCUGGCGAAACAUGAAGAAUGAGAGACGUUGCUGAUGGUUACAACAAGAGAUGAAGAGAGAUUCAAGGACCAGUGGUAUUUAGACUCAGGAUGCUCAUCACACAUGCCUAGAAGAAAAUAUUGGUUUGUCAACAUAAAACCCUCAAUGAAGAACAUGGUAAAAUUUGAAAAUGACAACAUUCUAGCAGCUAAAGGUGUUAGUGAUAUUAUGACUAUAAGGAAAGAUGGCAAGAGGUCAAUAAUUUCAAAUGUGUUGUACAUACCAGGCAUGAAGAGUAAUUUUCUCAGCAUAGGGCAGUUAAUCGAAAAGAACUACAAGAUGUCGAUCGAAGACAAGAUGAUAAGAGUUCUCAACUCAAAUGGAAGGUUGACCUUAAAGGCUCCAAUGUCUCAUAAUAGAACCUUCAAGAUUGAGCUAAAUGUGAUGGAGCAUAAGUGCCUUGCAACAGUAGCCAACCGAGAUGAAUGAAUGUGGCAUUAUAGACUUGCCCAUCUCAAUCUCAAACACAUCAGAUGUUUGAAGAGAAUAAAUAUGGUUUCAGGAUUACCAGAAAUCGACACUCUAAACGAAGUGUGUGAAGAAUGUGUGCAAGCGAAGCAGCAUAAGAACAACUUCAGUAAUGAUGCAGGAAGUAGGUCGAAGGAAAUUCUUGAAGUCAUAUACUUGUAUGUAUGUGGUCCUCUCCAGGUGGAUUCGAUUUGAGGUAACAAAUACUUUGUUACAUUCAUUGAUGAUUUCAGUCGAAAACCGUGGACUUACCUGAUCAAGAAGAAAGGUGAAGUGAUCGAGGUAUUUACCAAGUUUAAAUAUAUGGUCGAAAGACAAAGCAGUCGAAAGAUCAAGAUUCUGAGGACUAAUGGUGAUGGAGAAUAUGUGUCGAAAGACUUCAACACAUAUGUGUGAAAGAAAGGAUUAUGCAUGAGGUGAUUCCGCCCUACACUCCACAGCAGAAUGGAGUUGCAGAAAAAAAGAAUAUAAGCAUCAUGAAUAUGGUUAAAAGUAUGUUGAAAGGCAAUCAUCUACCCAAAGAAUUAUGGGGAGAUGCUCUGUCGACUGCGACAUAUAUCCUUAACAGAUGUCCGACGAAUAAGCUAGAAGGAAUCAUGCCAGAAGAAUGUUGGUCUGGUGUCAAACCUAGCUUGAGUCAUCUGAAGGUGUUUGGAUCUAUAUCACAUAGACAUGUGCCAAAUCAAUUAAGAAGAAAACUUGAUGACAAGUUGAGUCAGAUGAUCCUGAUAGGAUAUCAUUUUACUGGAGGAUACAAGUUGUUCGACCGAGUGAACAAGCAAGUGGUGAUUAACAUAGACGUGAUCAUAUAUGAGCUUAAGGGAUGGGAUUGGACUAAGAAUGUCAAUAAGGAUUUAGUGAGAAUCUUAUAUGAUGAACCAUCUAGUGACGUCGAAAGAGAAGUUCGACAAGAAGUCAUAGGUGAAGCAGGCCCAAGUAGACUUCAUAGAACAAGACACAUGCUUGCAAAGUUGCAAGAAUAUGUGAUUACAUCAGAUAAUAUGGUCAAUGAAGAAGGUGAGACAGUAUACUAUGCUUUUUACGUAGAUGUCGAACCAAUUAAUGCAUUUUAGGCAUUGAAAGAUUCGAAGUGGAUGAAAGCAAUGAACGAAGAAUUGAAGUCAAUCAAAGUCAACAACACUUGGUCACUUAUAGAAUUGCCCCAAGAUAAGAAGGAAAUCAAUGUGAAGUGGGUGUACAAGGUGAAGUUGAAUCCCAAAGGAGAAGUGACUCGACACAAGGCGAGACUUGUGGCGAAAGGAUUUCUUUAGAAAGAAGGAAUCAACUUCGACAAAGUUUUUGCACCUGUUGCUAGGAUCGAAACAAUUAGGUUGAUUGUUGGUUUAGCAGACAUGAAUAAUUGGAAGAUGUGUCAGAUGGAUUUGAAAUGUGCAUUCUUGAAUGACCCCUUAGAAGAAGAAGUUUAUGUUGCAUAACCAGCUGGGUUUAUGAAACAAGGCGAAGAAAGAAAGGUGUAUAGGCUGCAUAAAUCCAUGUACGGACUUAAACAAGCUCCAAGAGCUUGGAACAUGAAGAUAGAUGGCUUUCUAAGGGAUAAGAAAUUUGUAAAGUGCAAAACCGAACAUGGAGUAUAUGUAAGAAGAAGUAAGAGUGAAUUGCUUAUACUAUGUCUCUAUGUCGAUGACUUGUUAAUAACAAGUACCUACAAGAAGGAGAUCGAAGACUUUAAAGGUGAUCUCAACAAGGAAUUCAGAAUGUCAAUCUGUGUGACAUUUCAUAUUUCCUUGGCAUCGAAUUCUACAAGAGUGGUAAAGGUUUGAUGAUGCAUCAAAGAAGGUAUGCAGGAGAAAUACUCAAGAGAUUUGAGAUGCAAGAUUGCAACCUAACUUCGACUCCAGUUGGGCCCAUAUUAUAACUGUCGAAAGAUUUAGAUGAAAACGAUGUCAACCCAACCCAAUAUAGAAGACUUAUUGGGUCACUUUGAUACAUUUGUCACACAAGUCCUGACUUAGCAUACAAUGUAGGUAUGAUGAGUAGAUUUGCAGAAGCCAAAGGUAUCACAUCUAGCAGCGACAAAUAGGAUUUUAAGGUAUCUGAAAGGAACUAUCGACUAUGGCAUUUUUUCCUUGCAGUUUAUGAAGGAAAAGAAUGCAAAUUAGUGGGGUACACCGACUCAAGUUGGUGUAGUGGUGCUGACGAUAAAAAAUCCACAGUUGGUUAUGUGUUUAUGCUAAGUGGUACACCAGUUGCUUAGAGUUCGAGAAAAGAGCCAGUAGUGGCAUUAUCGUCGUGCGAAGCAGAAUACAUAGCUACUUCCCUUUGUGCAUGUCAAGCAACAGGGAUGGUAAAUCUGGUCGAAGAGAUAACAGGGAAGAGUCAUGGAGCGAUUACCAUGAAGAUCGACAACAUGUCAGCUAUCAAUUUGGCGAAGAAUCCGUUAGCACAUGGUCAAAGUAAGCACAUCGAAAUGAGGUUCUAUUAUCUUCGAGAGAAGGUAGUAGAUGGGAAGAUGAAUGUGGAACAAUGCAGAACUGCGAAUCAGAUUGCAAACAUCAUGACGAAGGGAGUGCAGGUCGAACUUCUCAGAAGACUAAGAGAUAUGAUGAAUGUAGAUAACUUAGACACAAUGAAUUAGGUGGUGUGUUGAACUGCAAUUCCUUAUGUCGAAACAGGUUGCUCGACGAAAGAAAGGAAGUGUCUAAUCACCAAGUGAGUUGAGUUGUGUUAGUGUGUCGAAGUGUUGAAGUAUGUUGCCUUAUACAGGAUUUUGACUUAGGCCUAUUUUAGUAUUGUUAACUAUUUUGGCCUUUUAUAGUUUUGGGCAUUGGCUUUGUGAGCAAGUUAACCUAAAUCUAUAAAUAGAGGAAGUGACCCUUAUUUUUGUAAAUGAAGUGAAUAGAGUAUUCAUAAUAUUGUAUUCGCAGUAUUUUGUAGUUGCAAAGUGAAUAAGAAGUUUUCCACAGUUUAAGGGCAGAGAGAAACUCUGGAGAAUAUUCUUCUUCUCCUUCAUCGUUCUUUAUUUUCUUUCUCCAUUGUUUUCUCUUUUUCAUUGGUAUUGUGUGGGUGACAACAAUCCUGUUCAUCAAGAUUGAUUGAAAUUCUGCAUAGGUUGUUGUCAAUUUCCAACAGUUUCCAUCCAGAAAAGCAAAGAUGAAGAUGUUUUGGGGAGUAUUCAAUGGCGUGAAAUAACAUUGAUUAAUUGAAAGGCGGAAGAUGAAAGGGACAUACCUGCUCCGGUGGCUUGUUCCGAUGCUCAACUUUGCAACUUGAUGUUUGAGUUACUAUUUGAACUCCAAUUGAUUAAAUAAAUACCAAUUGAAAAUCAGUCUAAUCUUUUAAGAGAUCCAUGAUUAAACAACUAAAACAUUAAAAGUUCAUAACUUUUAAAACCAAAUUACAUGAUUCAAACCAAAAUUCACCACAACUAUAAAUAUAAAAAAAACAAUCGAUUCAAUUAGCUAAAAUGAAUUAAAGAUUACAAACACAAAUCUAUUUAUUACAAUAUAAAUCUCUCAAUCAUUACAAAAUAUCAAGCAAAACCAAAAUAAGCUAACAAAAUCAUAAUCAUGGAAUACGACAACAAAUAAACAUUAUAGACCGAAUCAAAGAGACGUGAAUUGAAGAAAAUUUUGCCUUAGAAAAAAUGAAAUCGAAGAUUGCUCGAUCGCAAUCCUAAAAUGCAAUAAAUGAAUUGAUGUAGGUCAGAACCCAUCGAUGAAUUGGUGUUUUGGUUGUAGUUGUUGGUCAAUGUUGGUUAUGUUAGCCAAAAUUAUUUUUUGGAUCAGCUCCAACAGCGAUAGAUCUAAAGCUUCACGAUCACAUAUUUAAGGUUAAACUAUCAAUUGUCUUCCUUUAGAAAUCAUCAACAAAGACAACACGUACAUUUGCCAAGAACAUGACUCCGCCUUCAUCAAAUGAUGAAAUCGUUAAUAAAAAAAGAGAUGAACACAAAUGUAAAACCACUUUGAAUACUAUCUAUCAUAUUAGGUAAAUGGAAAUAUGAUGAUAUAUAUACCAAAGUAUGCAUGCACAACUUGCAUAUAAGUAUAGUUUCUUUUUUCAUCAACUGGAUCUGGAUAUCUAUACCAAUCAACCAUAAGAUUGUAUGUGUAAAUGGAAAUAGAUAAAAAUAUGAUCAUGACAGUGAUGACAAGUAUCCAUCCAAGUUCAUAACAGUUAUGAACUUGACAAACAAACUUAUCUCUCUCAUCUCAAACACCCUUUAUUGAUUCGCACUCGAUUUCAAAUUUAUAUUUAAAGAAAACUUAUAAUUUCAAAGAGAAAACAAUUAAGCUACCGUUUUGAUUUUCGUUGGAGGUUAUGUAUUGUACAAUGGUUGUGUCUGGCACAAUGAAUGAUGGAAGUCUGAUAUGGAGCAUUGCAGUUCGACGAAGGUGAGACGCGAUGGCUUGGUGGUGAUCAGUGGUAGUGGGUUACGGAUUGGAGUUGACGACAAAUGAUGGCGCGAGCAACAUGUUUCAGUGAGGACUGAAGGUAGGAGAUAACGUUUGAACGAUGAACAAUUAUUCUGGAGUGGUGGAUCUCCAAGGAAAGUUGAUUUGUCUUAUUGGCUUUUUUAUUUUCAUUUGAACUUCUUCUUCCUCUACUAUUUCCAUCCCAUUUUGUUGUGGUUGUUAUUGUUAUUUUUUUUCUCUUUUCCUCUUCUUCGGUUCUACCCUUGUUAAACUCACAGUAAUAUUUUAUUGAUUCUUAGUAGUGUAGAUAUUUUCAAAAUUACAAUAAUAAAUUCAUAGAAAAUAGUGUGUUAUGAAGUUGGGAUGAUGUGUUUAAAUAGACCCGAAUUUUAUGGUUGAAGCCUAUUGUGAGUUGUGUACCAUAAAUGCAAUACAUUGGUAAAAGUUAAUGGCUUUUGGAUUUUUCACGUAGUGUAAUUUAUAAUUUGUAAGUAAUGACUGCAACGAGAUAAUGAUACAAAAUUUACCAUUUAGGACAUGAAAUUAGUCCUCUAAAUUGAUUUGAAUUGGUUAAAAUGUAAUAAUGACGGUAUUCAACUUUUAUAUAUUAAUAGUAGAUAUACAUUUUAAUCCUUAACUUAAUUUAAUGUUCCACUUUACUCCCUUAAUUAAAAAACGUUACAAGUUAGUUCUUUAACUUCACUUAAGUUAUCCUAUUUGAUUCUUUCCGUCAAAUUUUGACAAAAAAAUGUUAAGUUUUAGUGACGUAACGUAACAGCAAGACCAUUGGUACAAAUCAGAGUCAACAUAUGUAGUUAAAAACUAAUACACUGUUUAAGCUACGAGGUUCCCCGAAAAUAAAACACUUGCAGUUUAAACAUUGUAUCAAUUUUUAACUAGAUAUGAUUACUCAGAUUUCUACCAGACCUUGUUGUCAUGCCAAGUCACUAGAACUUAAUAUUUUUGUGUGGUAAGAAAUUGAUUGAAAGGACCAAAUAGGGUAACGAAAGUGAAGUUAAAAUACUAAUUCGUAAGAUUUUUUUAGUUAAGGGACUAAAGUAGAACAUUAAAUUUAGUUAAAGGAUUUAAUGAUUAAUUAUGUCUUUUUUAUUUUAUCAACCUCUUGAUUUCCAUCCUUUAUUUUUGGUUUUACGUCUCUUUUGAUUUCUUAACAUAAUUUAAAGUUUAUGUUUAGUUUCUUAUUUAAUAAACAUUACAUAUUAAUUUUUUAGAAACAAUUUUGUUAUUCAACUUAAUUCUUUUUAUUAAUUAUUGGGGGAAAAUUGUUAUUUCUAACAUAUGUGGCAAUAUAAAUGGUAUUAUGUUAUUUGACCUUUUUCGAAUUUGUUUGUUUUUAUGUUGAAACCUUCUCACUCUGUCGAAACCUUUCAUUUUCAUUUCAUUGUGUUUGACAAAGUUGAAAGAUUGAGAAGAGAAGACAAAGAGAAACUUUAAUUCAAAGAACGCGGAGUUUCCCAAAAUAUGAAGAAGGUACGAAGACAAAGACGAAAGAACUUCAAAAGUUUAGUUGAUGAUUUUGAAACUAGAUGAAGAUUUGAAGUUUAUUUGAUGAUUUUGAAAUUGCAAUUUAGGGUUUUGCAGAGAGCGAGAUGUAUAUUUGAAGUUUAUUUGAUGAUCGUGAAACUGUAAUUUAGAAUUUUUUUUACUGUAGAAUUAAUUUAUAGAUUCAGCACAAUUUAGUCAUAAAUAAUUUUGUUGAACCUAGCCCUUUGGAUUUAAGUCUUAGGAAGAGUUCUUCAUGUGAUUUAUGGAAAACCCCUAGUUUCAACCGUUCCACCACAACCAUAACCAGCACAAGAGCAACCAGAAUCUUCCAAGUUGCUCACUCUACUGACCAUUCUGACUAUUGGUUGUGGCGUUGUUCCGCUACUUGGUGCAAGUAAGUGUUUCCCCUAUUCCGCUCCGUGCAACACUUUUCAUUUUCACUUUAUUUAUUUUUGUAUAUGUUGUGUUGUGUGUAGCUUUCUAUAUGGAUGGUUGGCGAGGAACAAUAUAGCUACUACCAUAACUUUUGUUGCUGCUUCGGUUACAAAUUGGCUUGAUGGUUAUUCUACUUCGGUACCAAAUUUGUUGUUUGCUAUGCAUAUGAAUUUAAAAUAUGGAUUUGGUGCAUUCUUAGAUCCUAUAGCUGACAAGAUAAUUCCUUUAAGCACACUUGUUACUAAUGAUGUUAAUUUUUACACUACUAAUGAACUAGGCCAAAGUUACUUAUGUAGUGCUUUUCAUAGUGUUCAUUUUUUUUUAUUUGGGUAUUAUUUCUUUUGAAAGCAUAAAAAUCAAAGAUGCAAUUAGGAAAGCAUAUCGAGUUUCAAAUCUGUUGGUGGAAGUUGUGAAUGGGGUGUUCAAGAUUAUAAAAAAGGUGUUUAUUUCCUGACAUGUUAGUAAGUGAUGUUAUUAUACUUGAAAGUUUUUUCAUUUCAUGCCAUGUUGAUUGAAAUUUAUAAAUUAAUUUGAUUAUAUACAUGAAAGUUUUUAAAUUUUUGAUCAUUAGGUAAUUAUUUGAAAAUUUAAUAGAUUAAUCCGAAUGAUUUAUUUUCAAGUCAUUUCUAACCAUAUAAUAUUUUUUAAUCAAAUACAUAAAUCAUAUAAUUAAAGUAUGGAUAAUGCUAACUUGUGCCCCAAGGGCACAAGUUAAGAGUUGAAUAUAGUAAAAAUAUAUUGGAAAUUGUGUGUUGAAUUUAAUACAAAUAUAUAAUUAAUAAUUUUAUUGUUUUUUUCAAUAUAAAUUUUAUAUUUAUGGCUUUUUUAACAUGUGCCCCAAAAGCACAAGUUAGCAUUACCCUUAAAGUAUUUACAAAUUGUAUUGUUUAAGGGUGGCAAAUUAACAUGCAUGUCACGUUUAAGCUUGGAUGUAAGGUCCAGUCAUAAUCCUGAAUACUAGACCCAAGUUGUAAUAGUUUGCAAGCCCAAGUGUUCGUCUUCCAUUCAAAACACUUGUAAAUAUUCAAACCUCUUUCAUAACAAGAUUGAAAAAAAAAAGACUACCUAGGUGUAAGGUUCAGUCAUAAUCCCGAGUAUUAGAUCCAAGUUGUAUGAGCUUGCUAGUCAUAAAUCUUCGUCUUCCAACUCAAAAAUAAUCAAACACAUUCAGACCAUUUUUCCUAUUUGCAUAACCUUCAGAAUCUUUUAACUGAAAUAUGUUUCAUCUCGAGACGAUGCAAAACAAUGCCUCGUCCACAUAUGUGUGAGUGAGAUAAGUGAUGUUUCCCGUAAAUGUUGAUAUCUAGAAAUUCACUCAAUGUGAUGCAAACGUAUGCUCCUCUAAUUGUUUUUGGUAAGCAAUAUUUUUUGUUUGAUUGCAACAAUGACAACUUUCGUUACACAAACAUUUUCUACCUAAAACUAUGUAGCCUUGAGUUCUCCAUCGCACCUGGAGAUGCAUAGGAGCGUGACUCAAAGUCCUGUCAGGCAUCAUAAUAAAAAAAUCACCUUUAGUCCUAUUCUUAUUUCCUUUUAAUAACUUGAGAAGCAAACAUUUUUUGCACAAACUAACUAAAUGGUUCUCGUUGAGUACAACGAAUAAGAAGGGUGCUAAUAUAUUUCCACUAUGUAAUCGAAUCCCGAACCCAAUUUAGUUGCGAUGACCAUAUCAUUGUCGUUCUUUUUAGGGGUUUUAUCGAUAUUUUCUUUUUUGUUUUGGGGAAUAAGUAAAGUUUGGUGGCGACUCUAUUAGUCAUUCAACGGGCGUGCGACACGUCUCACGAAUGUCGUAUUUUUUUUCGAGAUGCGACAGCUGGCGACUCUGGUGGAGACAUGUUUCCCUCAAGUGAUUCAAGCCUAGUUUGGUUUGUUGUGUGCUUUUUUUGCUUUAUUUGUUUGGAUUUUCUUAUCUUAUGAUGUUAUUAUGUCUAUUGUGCUAUAUAUCAUAUAUCUAAUGUUGGCUUCAUUGGACUGUUGUUGGAUAGUUUGAUUGCUUCAAACACAUUGUGGGAAAGACUCUAUGCCCGAUUAUAAAGUACACAAAUAAGAUAUGAUGAUGGUUGCAUAACGCGGGUUUGCGAGAUGCAGUUCUCGUUGGGUCGACACGAAAACCUCACUCAGAUUGGCACUCGACAUGUAGUUGCCGUAAGAGGAAAUCAUUCUUAGAGAAUCUGUGACUCUAGGGACCAUGUCUAGAACCUUGAAGUUGAUGGUUGUGUAAUGCAGGUCUGUGAGAUGCAUGUCUCGUUGGGUCGGCACGAAAAUCGCACCUAGCAGAGACUCCCUUAAAGGAAUUGAUGUCUGACAUGUAGUUGUCGUAAGCGACAAUCAUUCUUGUAGAUAUAUGACUCUAGGAGCCUUUGCAAAUCCUAGAUCAUACCUGGUGAGAACCCUAUCAAUACAAUCUGAUUCAUCUGUACCCCGAACCUUUGAACCCAUGUACCUAGAAAAAAAUACAGGGCAUCACAUUGCAUUCAUUCACAUACCAUUGCAUAUGCAUUCAUCAGCAUGCAUGCAUAUCUUUUCCACAAAAAAAAAAAGAACUCGUCCAACCUUUGUCCAUAACCAGUCAACUAAUUUCCUAGCACCCAUAUCAGACGCGAAGUAGUUCUCAAAAGAUUAUGGGUUUGGUGGAGCAAAACCAGUCAGUGUUAAGAGAAUAUGUGUACUUUCCAAUUUCCAUUUCCUACAUGGUACAACACAAGUGUCUAAUGUGAGUUUCAUGAUGGAGUAGUGGGGCACUCAAUUAAGGAAUGUAAGGUCUUCAAAGAAGAAGUGCAAGAUUUGAUUGAUAGCAGGGUUGUUGAAUUUUUAAAGGAGGCCCUAAUGCGAUGAACAACCUCUCGCCCGAAUGAGUGCGAAGACUUUAGGGAGCACCUCCUAAAUCCAGUGGAUCAGAUAGGAAAUCAUCCUCAACACUGACAUUCUUUGGGUUGUUUUAUCAUUUGCAUUUGUAAUUUCUUUGUCUGUUAAAUGCUACUUAUUUUUAAACAUUAUUAUUUUUAAUGGUAAUAUUAAUGAAGUUAUCAUGCAUUUUCUGAAUCAAUCCAUUUGUAUUCACUCUUGUUAUUUUUAUUUCAUUUAUGCAAAAAAAACACAAAAAAAUUAAAAUAAUAUCAAAUCUUCUCCCGUUCAAUUAUCUUUAUCAAACUUUUGUUUAAGCAAAGAUUAAAGUGAGGUUGAUUAAACAAACUACCCCAAAUUACCACGAUAUGCUUUCGAAUAGAACUUUGCCGAUGAUGUAAGGCAUUGUUUCAUUCCACAAACACCGAACAUAUAAGGAGUUAAUCCUUAGUCAACCACUUUGAGCCUACGAGUUGGUGUUUCUAUCGAAAUUAAAAACCCUUAAUUUGACCAGGGGCAGAAUAGUUAUGGUCAGAUAGUUUGACUAUGCAUUCAAUCUUCAAAGAGAAUCAAUCAAUCUACACACUUUUUAAUAAGAGGUUCAACCACAUGAUUUUCUUUGCACACAUUAUGAAGUGUCUAAGAAAUCGUGAAAAGUCAAAAUUUACAAUGAUUGAUCCUCACCAACCAUUAACAAGGCAGUCAUAACCUUUUAGCAAAUAAAUAAAAAAGAGAAAGUCCAUUAAGUCGAACACUAGAAAAUGCAACUUGGGGUAAAAAUCAGGACAUCCCGAUGGAUCGAAAGCUUCAAAGAAGCGGUUUAGGAAAAAUUAGAGAUCAAAAGAAAAAAUAGAGGUUAUCAAACUCUCAACAAAGAAAAAUAAGAUUAGGUGACCACCCUAUCAAGAAUCAAAAGGUCACCAAUGUUCUUGACAAAAACAAAAUAAGGUGACUGCCAUUUCAAGAAAAUUUCAUCUUGAAUCCUCAUCUUUACCCUUACACUGUCAAACUAUCUUGAGAUUUGAUUGCGUAUGUUAAAUAAAUUAAAUUUAGAACUGGAGAUCAUCAAGAAGAAGGGGUGGGCUAAAAUUAGAUUUUGAGCCUUGUAUCUUUUUUUCAAGAGUCGGGAAUUAGGCCAUGUUAUAACCCUUAAAAGACCUAAUCGAGACAGGGUUUAUUCUGAAAGCAUACUACAACAAGGUUGUGUUAACCUGACUCCAAAAGAUCUUUGCUAAUUAUUUGUAUUGAUUGCAUCACCUUGCACAAUGUGAAUGGCUACAUCUGCGUUGUGUUUUGAUCAUUGACUCGUUCAUUGUAUUUCACCAAAUUGAUAUCAAUAAAUUUAUCUUUCAAAAUUUUGCAUAAGCGUUGCAUUAAAAGUACCAUUUUUGAAUGAACAUGUUUUAACUGCAAGUCAACACUUAACAUCAAGGAAAUUCCCAACAAUGUGCAGUCAGUUGAGGAACUUGAUCAUGUGAAAGAAGCCCAAUCAGGGGCAAAUCACUUUUGAGAAUUGGUUAAUCCGAGCCAAUCACCUCAAGAGCCGGUUAGGCAAAAAGCAAAUUUCUUCAAAGCUCAUAUUAGGGCAAGUCACCUCAAGGAGCAUAAUGACUCCAUCCUGCCAAAGGACGAUCAAUCUGAAAUCUACCAGUCUAAGAAUUAGUUAGUCAAUGGUAGAAUUCUUCAAGCUUCAAAUACUAGGGAAAGUCACCUCAACGUUAUGACAAGCUGUUUCCAAACUCCUUUCAAGGUGAACAUCUUCAAAGACCUAACAAACUGGGGCACCAUAAGCCACAGAUGGGCAAGUCCUCUCCAUAAUUUCAAGAUGCUCAAGCAAACUUUGUAAUAAGUCAUAAACCAUCGAGUUCAAGAUGAGUGUUAGGGAAUCAUGAUAGUAUCCCAUCAAAUACCCUUUGCCUUUUAACAAAGAAGUUUUGCUGCAAAAGAAACCUUUCCAUCAAUUACCCACCACACAUGCAUUUUUGGAAACCGUUAAGUCAUUGCAUAAAUCAUUAUCAUGCAUUAAUAAUGUUGUUUUUCUCUAGUAUAAAGCCACGCAUAUCAUCUCAUUCAUCGAGCAUAUGUCCAUAGCAUGAAAGAACAAAUAUUAAAAACCAGUUCCCGUCUGGUAGUCUAUUUUAAAACUAGUUCCCUUAUGGUAGUCUAUUUCAAAACCAGUUCCUGCCUGGUAGUUACUUUCCAAGCAAAUUCCCGUAUGAUAGUCAGUUUCUUUUCAAAACCAGUUUUCAUCUGGUAGCCCAUUUUAAAGUCAAUUCCCGUCUGAUAAUGAAUAAUAAAAAAAUCAUUUAUCGUCUGGUAGACUAUCUGAAAGUCAGUUCCCGUUUGACAAGCAAAAAACAAAACACCAGUUCUUGUUUAGCAAUUCAUUUCAAAGUCCAACACUGUUUGGCACCCUCCGUUUGAAGCUGGUAUGUAUUAAUGAUGCCUACGAUCUAAUCCUAGCGAUGUUUGGCAAACCCGCGUUUGAAGCCAGUAUGUAUUACUGAUGCCUACGAUCAAAGUAAAAUGUUUUAUGGCAACCUCCGUUUAAAGCCGAUUUAUAUUACUCAUGCUUACGGUUAAAGUUCAACACUGUCUGACACCCUUUGUUUGAAGUCGGCUUAUAUUACUGAUCCCUACGAGUGAAGUUUGGCGCUGUCUGGAACAUCCAGAGAUUAUGCUAUGUUUGUCAUGAUGUUUCCUAGAAAGUUGUCAAUUUGACUCUUUCGUGGAAAAGAACUCGGCAGAAGAUUGGAUGAUUUCGUUUUAGAAAACUCAAAUAUUUUUGUUAGGAUUGAUUCAUUUAGAAGAAUCUCCAAAGAUUUGCGUGAAAGAUCUUCUUAUAGAAAGACUCUUGCUUUUUUUGUCUUGGAUGAAUUCCCUGUUCGGAAUCUCCAAAAUAUUUGAUUGGAUGAAUUUCUUAUGAGAAAUCUCCAGAACUCUCAAAUAUAUUCUAAAGUGUCGACGUGUCAUCUCUAACCAGUUGAUAAAACUCACUUUGAAUAUUCCAUAGUGUCCUAUCUCCAACAAACUGUUAUCCCUAGUGAGUCUUUCACCCUCAUUGUCCUUUUCAUUUCAUGUGGAUAACUGUUAUGCAUAUCUUCAUUAUUCCCCACAGGGUCAUCUUUCAUUUUUCAUCCAUCAUAAAACCUCAUGUUAUGGUUUAUCUCAUAACACAUCAUAUCCCCAACAAACCAAAAAGAAAAUAGUCUUUCAUGAAUUCAUAACAUCUCAUAUCAUUUCAUUUCAAUUCAUCAAGGGAUAAAAUUUGAGUCCUUUAGUAUUUAACUAUCUCCCACCGCGAUCAUAUGAAGAGUGACCUUCUUCAUAUUCUCUAGUCGAAGAUACUUAAAUAUGGGCAGUUGUCAUACCCCCACUUAUGACCUUAAAUAAAUAAAUCAAUAUAUUCAUCAUGCAUUUGUAUAUCAUAACAUGCAUUUCUUUCAGCAUAACGCUUAAAAAUUUGACCAAAAUAAAAUGUUGGUUUUAUAGACAGAUCGGUUGAAUCGUUUCUCAAAUGCGCAUAAAUUUAGCGGGAAAAAUUUCGAGAUCGGGCUUGCAGCUGUCAAUUUUAUUGACCUACGAUUCACGUAGUUCAACUCGGUGUGCUCGUUUAAUUUUUUCGAUUCCAUUUAUGGUUGCAUUUUUAUCAGUCUGAGUCUUUUCAUUCGGGCAUUUUUAUUGCAAAAUUUGAUCUUUACGUGUAUAUUUUCUGGAACUUUAUUUCACGAAGAUCAUUUUAGUGCAUGCAUUUUAUUUUUCGUGCAUUUUCGCGCCCGAUUUUUAUUCAUUCUAGAGAGGUGGCAAGGACUCAUUCAUGAAGAUCUUGCAUAUGUAAUUGCCUCUAAGGGAAGCAAUGAUUCAUUCGUGAGGAUACAACAUAUAUGGUUGCCUCUAAGGUCAGUUUCGAUAAGGUUUCAUUCAUUAUUUAGUUUCCUGCAAAUAAAGCAACAAUACUCCCAAUUAAUAUUAUAAUGCAAAGGCCUAAAUAAAAACCUUCACGCCUUGUUGAAAACGCACGGGAACCCUACCAAUGUGGUAUUCAUGGUGAUAUAACUUUUCACCUACACCUGCUCUCUUGAGGACCCUACCAAUGAUCCUUGGAAAGUUAUGAGGUCGUCUAGUUCCAAUUGAAACCUUUUAAAAACAUCCAAAUAGAGGAUGUCUACAAAGCUUCUUUGAUCAAUCAGUACCCUUUUAAUCUUCCGAUCAUCACACCUUACCGUUAUGACCAUAAAGUCACCACCAUGCGGGUGAAUGCCUGCACCUUCCUUCCUAAAAAAGGCAAUCUCACAUUUUGGGGUUUCUAUCUCGCCUAAGUCAGGAUUUGUGUUUGAGCCCUUGAUGGUUAGGACUUGACGAGCGUAUAAUCUAUAGGUGGAAUUGGUUUCUCCUCCAUCAAGGAAUCAUCAUGUGAUGAUAUUAAUGGUGUGACAUACGAUUUUAUCCUUGCUCUCUUGCUUGGUUAUUUACCCUUUUUGGAAUCGAGACUCCCAAAAGCGUGUCUCCUAUAAGAUUUGGAUCCGCCUGACCUUUGUGCGGAGUCAUCCUUUACAUAUUUCUUUAGGUGAACUUCUUGGAUCAAUUGCUCUAUCUACUUCUUGAUAACAUUCCUUAGUGUGAUGCUCAAUGACUUUGUGGAACUUUCGCCAUCUGCUAGGCUUAGGUCCCAUGGCAUCUGACUUUGGAGUCAACGACUAUGGAAUUUUCUACAUGUAGAGGACUUAUCGCCAUAUUUUCUCAUGAUGAAUUUUUAGGGGUGCGAAGCUCUCUAUAGGUUUUCCACUUUGUUUGAACGCCAUUUUAUCUCUAAUAGUGUGGUAUAGUGAUUCUUCUGUGAUUGUUGUAAGUUAUCAGGAUUACUUGAGGCACACUCUUUAACAUCUUUGACCUUAUUUUCAGCAUUAUUUUUCUUGCCCUUUAUAUAAAAUUAUGCACAUGUCAGCACCUCAACCAAGGAAGAAGUGGGCCUCUAGGCGAUGAAUUCGUUAAAAUGUCCCGCUCUGAGCCCAUUUUGAAAUUCUCCUCAAAACACUAUCUGGUUAGGUGGAUGAACUUGAUCGUUACCUCACUGAAGCAAGUGAGGCACUCCAUCAAAUAUUUAUAAGGGCCUUGGCGAAUAUUAAAAAGGUUGGUGGCAACCAUCUUUCUCUUCCUACUUGUUGUAAAUUGGUGGACUAUUUUCUUCACCAAGUCCUGACAACUAGUGACGAAGAGUAGAGUUAGGCCCGUGUAUCGAUCAACGUAGGUACACACAUUCGUUAUUCAUAGUGAAACAUUACAUAUUAUAGAAAAGGAAUUCAAUGCAUAUAUUCCCAAUAAUAGUAACGUCCCGUCGAAGGCUUUCACCUCCUCGACCAAGCAGUUGAUCUAGAACAUAUAUAACAAAACCUCAUCCUACAAAAUAGAGACAAUGACUUGGGGGGAAAUUGUUUUAGGUCGUCCACGAGGUCCAAGAUGAAAAGCACAAUGGUAGAGUAAAUCUAUAAGCGCGAAGAACAUGUAGAACUCUAUUUUCCCUGAAGCAGGUAAUUCAGCCAACCAAGAGCACUGUUGACCGUCCAAAUCAAUCAAACAGAUGACUGCAAUCAACGCUUCACUCCACGCUUUAUGUUUUAAACCGUUCACACUAUUUAAGAGGGAAACAUGUCAUUGUCAGAUAUUCAAAUCCAUCUCACUCUCACAUCAUCUUGAUUCUUUCACUGAUUUAGAUGUUGGAAUGCUAACCUUGUAAGCUAGCUCCCUCUCCACCGUAACAAGUCUUAAGAUAAAUAUAAUUACGGUUGCAUAAUCGUGUAACUGAGAGUGAACAUCAAAUUAUAAAAAUCAUAAUAGUAAACCACAUUAUCAAAGUUGUGACCCAUAACUAUUUUUUUAAUUUAUAAUUUUGGUAUUCGACUCUGUAACCGACUAAUUUAAGAUGAUCAAUUCCACCGUCUAUUAACGGGAUCCCGUUUAAAGCAAAAAUAAAUUAUGUAUAUAGUGUAUCCCAACACAAAAAAUAUUAAUACAUAGCAGAAUUCAAACCCCUUUUAACCAUUAAAAGUUGGAGCAAAAUCGGUAGGAAUAUUAUUAGUAUAAAAAAAACAUUAACUUUUUUUUUUCAAAGGUGGUGCUAAUAGCAGGUCAAUAAAAUAAUAAAGCCCUUAUAUUUAAGAUCCCAGUCCAAGCUUAAGAGCAGGCCAGAGCCGGGGGAGCUCAAAAACAAUUAUUUUCAACAGCUUUUUUUUUUUGUUUGUUAAAAACUUACUAAAAAAGAAAAAUCUUUAUCCUUUACUUUAUCAUUAGUAUCAAUAUAUUAAUAAUAUUUGAAAGGAAAAAAAGUUAUUUAAUUUUAUACGAAUGAUUAAUUAAUUGAUUUACUUUCGAUAAACAGUUAGCUUCAUUUGACCGAACAAGGAGAGGACGGAAACAACACAGAGAGAUUCAAGGAUCUCGACCCAUUCUUUAAUCCCCAUUUUCAGAAAAACAGUGAGAAAAUAGCUAUCAUUAUUUAACCUAAUGAAUGAAUGAAUGAUAACACCGCCAUCAUUACUUUCUCUCACCCUUGACUCAGCCGUUCACAAUCUCUCCGACAUCUCCGAUCUCUCUCCCAUCCCUGAUCACAUCCUCCUCGAUCUCUUCCUUGUUCGUACCUAUUCUUAUUCUUAUCUUCUUCCCCUCUCUCUUUCUCUCAUACUCUAACUUCAUAGGUAGCUAAUACUUUCUCAGAUUUAGGGUUACUGUUAGGGUUAAUGAUCCAUUUCAAUUACUUUCUAGUAUCGUUAUAGUUACGUAUGUUUAAUUUUAAUUCAUUUUCACUCUGCCUAAUCCAUGAUUUGGUGAUGAUAUAUUCUUGAUCUGGGUUCAAUCUUUUGUUGUCUAUAUGAAAGUUGUUGCAGUUUCGUUUUCUGAUGAAGUUUUUUUGUCAUUUCUUGAUUUUUCAUGUGCAGAGAAUAUUGAAAGCAGGAAAACUGACUGAAAAAGUUCUCAAACUGUUUAUAGCAACCGGUAAGGACGAAGUAAUCUCACUUGUUCAGGCAUUGAAUAUUCAACAUAUUCUCACCCCUGUGCUUCCUACCAGUGAGUUGUUUCUAUAAUUUUAGCUUGUAUCUAUGGAGUAAAUUGUCAUUUUAGUCUGUCAGUUUAGUCUCUCUAGUCUGCAAAAACAACGGUUUGGUCUCUUCGAUUAAAAAUAUCAAUCAAUUCCGUACCUCCAUCAAAAUAUUUCUUUCCUAAACAUUCAUCAAAACUAAUAAAAGACAUACAUAUUGACUUGGGCUAUGUUUGGAUUAAUGGAAUCCGAUGGAAUGAAGCGGAAUGGAAUGAAAUAGGGAUACGUUCCUUCGUUUGGAUUGGCCAAAUGAGGAUGGAAUGGAGCAGAACAUGAUGAAAUGCAUUCUAUCCAAUUCCAUUAGUUACCCUCAUUUUUGUUACAUUCCAGCCUAAAAUAUCCAAACAAUGGAAUGAGAUAUUCAUUCUGAUCUGCUCUAUUCCACUCCGUGCGUUUUGAAAUAUCCAAACAUAGACUUAAAUAGUCUUUUGCUGCAUCAUAACAAGCGUAGAGCCUUUAACAUUGUAGUAUGAAAUUUGAGAAAAUGACUAAAUUGAUUGAUAUUUUUCAAUUUAAGGGAUUAAAUUGCUAUUUCCCAAAUUUGAGGGGCGAAAUUGAUUGGCAUUUUCAAUAUCAAUGACUAAAAUGUCUAUUUACUUUUUAUUUACGAUAGUUAUUCCGAUUGCGACAAACAUUUCUUUUUUUGACGUUUGGAAAUAAAUCAUCCUACAGGAUGUUCUGAGAAAUUCUAAGAUAAAAUUGAAAGUAUAGUUAGAAGUUUGCAUCCAACUCAUCAGUUUUAAAGUAAGGAGACCAAUCUAGACUUUCGGUUUGCGAAAUCAUCUGAACUGUAUCCCUCAAAAGAUGUCUCAAGCAAUUAUCAACGACAACGAAGUUGACAUUGUGAUUGGUGCACUAAACUCUGACCUAACAACUUUCAUGAAUGAAUGGAAGCCAGUUUUCUCUCGUUUCCACCUGAUAAUAGUCAAAGACCCUGACCUCAAUGGAGAACUCCGAAUUCCUGAUGGAUUUAGUGUAGAUGUCUAUACAAAAUCUGAAAUUGAGCGAGUGGUGGGUUCCUCCACUUCAAUUCGCUUCUCUGGCUACGCUUGUAGAUAUUUUGGCUUUCUAGUUUCAAAGAAGAAGUAUGUUGUCUGUAUUGAUGAUGAUUGUGUUCCAGCAAAAGAUGAUGCGGGGAAUUUAGUAGAUGCUGUGGCUCAGCAUAUUGUGAACCUCAAGACUCCUGCCACUCCUUUCUUCUUCAAUACACUAUAUGAUCCAUUCCGUAAGGGUGCAGAUUUUGUUCGUGGUUAUCCAUUUAGUCUGCGAAGUGGGGUUGAUUGUGCUCUGUCUUGUGGACUAUGGCUCAAUCUGGCGGACCUUGAUGCACCAACACAAGCUCUCAAGCCAACACAGAGGAAUUCACGUUAUGUGGAUGCAGUUCUGACUGUUCCUGUGAGAGCCAUGUUGCCAGUGAGUGGAAUCAACAUCGCCUUUAACCGAGAAGCAAUUGGUCCGGCAUUAGUCCCGGCUUUGGUUUUGGCAGGAGAAGGAAAACUGAGGUGGGAAACUGUGGAAGAUAUUUGGUGUGGAUUGUGUGUGAAAGCUAUAUGCGACCACCUAUCCCUUGGUGUGAAAAGUGGGUUGCCAUAUGUUUGGAGAACUGAAAGAGGCAAUGCCAUAGACAGCUUGAAGAAAGAAUGGGAAGGGGUGAAAUUGAUGGAGGAUGUUGUUCCUUUCUUCCAGUCUGUAAAGUUGCCACAAUCAGCUGUCACUGCAGAGGACUGCGUGGUUGAGAUGGCCAAAUCAGUGAAGGAACAACUUGGGAAGGCGGAUCCUAUGUUUUCGCACGCCGCUGAUGCUAUGGAAGAGUGGGUCAAGCUCUGGAAGUCAGUUGGAUCUGCUUGAAGUUUCUGAACUAGUGGUUGACAUUGUCUGGAUUUGUUUCAUCCUCGCAUUAGGAUUUGUAGGAGUUAUAAGGUUUUUGCCUUAAUGGCUUCUAUAUUUCUUUUCUUUUCUUUUAUUUAGAUUUAAGCUACGUUAUAUCUGCUUCCUUUUUUUUAAGUCAACUAAGUUUACUUUUACCUGACUGAGUUAGUUUCAAGGAAAAAAUAAAAUAGUACUGGUAUGGUUUUGUGCCAAUUGAAUAAAAUAGCACUGGUCUGGUUUGUGACAAUUGAAUAAAGUUGUCUCGUGGCUUUAAAUGCAUUUCCAAGGUCUCCUAAUUGUGUAGCUCAGCUUUACAUGCUUUUGAGUGUUUGUUUUCCAUGAUGAGGGGAAUGGUGCUGUUUUUUUUUUUUUUUUGUGGUUUUGUUUUGUUUCUAUUCAACGUAUCUGAUACAAAUAACAGAGAAACAAUUUUAAGAACAUCAUGUACUUCUGCAAACUCGUGGCUUUAAAUGCAUUUCCAAGGUCUCCUAAUUGUGUAGCUCAGCUUUACAUGCUUUUGAGUGUUUGUUUUCCAUGAUGAGGGGAAUGGUGCUGUUUUUUUUUUUUUUUGUGGUUUUGUUUUGUUUCUAUUCAACGUAUCUGAUACAAAUAACAGAGAAACAAUUUUAAGAACAUCAUGUACUUCUGCAAACUAGUGUCAUAUUUAAUUAUUUAUAGAGCACUAUUUGAUUCUCAAUUGUUCCUCAUAGAAAUAUCACAAUUUGGUGCGAAUUUCAUAUUUACUACAUCUUUGGUUUUCAUUAGAUGAUGUUCCUUCCUACUAAGUAGUUGGAUGGCAUAAUGUGUAAAGGUUUAUAUAUGUUUUAGUCACAGAUUAAUCCCUUAAUUUUAUUUCUAUUAUCUUAUAUGGUCAAUUUUGUUAAUUUUUGGUAAAAAAAUGUUAGUUUUGAAAAUCUGAGUUAGAAUAUAUAGUUAAAAACUGAUACAUUAUUUAAAUUGUGAGGAUUUUGUUUUCGUAAUUUAAUCGAUGGAUUAGUUUUUAACUACAAAUGCUGAUUUAGAUUUGUAUUAAUGAUUUUAAAAAUAAAGUUAAAUAACAUGUAACAUUUUUAAUUAAGGGGCUAAAACAUAAUAUUAAAUAAAAUUAAGGGAUUUUGUGAUUAAUUAUGUCAUGUUUAAAACAUUACAUUCUUGUUGGCUAAUUUGAUUAGUGGUUGUACUUAGUAAAUUCCUUCCUAUAUUCUUCCUGCUCUUCUGCUUUACUGCCCGUAUAGCUUGGAUCCAUUGAUGUAUUGGUCUAUAAUAGACCAUUUCUUUCCACCAUUAGAUCCAUACACAUCAAAUAUAAUCUCUCAACUCUGUAUCUCUCAUUUCUUUGCCAAGUUCUCUAAGCUCGAAUCCCAUUCCUUCAACCUUCAAUCCUGCCUCGAUCAACACCUCCAUAACCUCUCUGAUGUCCAAGUGCAAACUCAUCAAAUCCACUUGCAAUUGGUCCAUUAUGUAAAAGUUUCUAAACCAAAACUGUUGCUAGUUAUUAUGGUUAUUUGCUAGGAAGAUGAUAAAACAAACUAAUAUAUUAUACUAUAAAUGGGGAAGAAUCCACUUUGAUUAACAAUGAAACACUUUAAAGGGCCUGCCAACCUCCGGAUGCUUUAAGCCCCUUCUUCACAAAUUACAAGAUGCCCCCCUCUCUCUAAUACUCCUAUCUAUUUAGAAAAUUUCUUGAUACACAUGUAACAUGGAAAAAUAUUAAAAUGUCCCUCAAAUUCCAGGGAAAUAUAUCCCUGGAUGCAUCUAAUAUACACAUAACAUAAAUCAUUAUGCGUGACGUCUUAUUAGUUGAAUUUUUUAUACCGGAGAUGCAUCUCCGGAAUCUAUCCGUAGACGCGUUUUCGUAAUGUAAGCACAACAAUAUCAGAGACAGAAACCAAAAAUUUAUAAUUUGACUAAAUAAAGUUAACAUUCAUAACAUAAAAUAAAUAUUACAUAGAUGAUUUCAACAUAAAAUGCAAUAUUACACUUCAAUAUUCAGGUGGACGCUUCAACAUUUUCAUAAUAUCUUCGACUGAUCUUGAAAUCGUCGCUUCAAACUCGAGCGAAACUUUUGUUUUGAAACAGAAAAAUAUAUUCCACAUUAGCCCUUACAUAUGCAUUCAUCUUGAGUUCAAAGUUGUUGAACUCAAUCUUUCCUGCAUUGUCAAUCGAUGGUGAAUGGUAUUCGAGCUUUUCAAUUUUUCGAUUGUCUCCGUAAGGUAUGUGAUUAUGGAUUUCGUAUUUCAGAUCUGCAAGAGAGGUGUACUCGUUGAGCUUAAACUUGUGUCCGAGUGUUGUGCUGGAGAAGGAGACAUUUGUGACAUACUAGAUGAUGUUUAUUUGUGAUAUUUGAGACAUUUUCAGUUGUGUGAAAUAAAAAAGAAGAACACCUUAAUUUAUAGAAGCUGUAGACAAAUAUGGAUCUCACAAAAUCUAGCAUCAUAACACCGAAGAUAUAUCUCUAAUUUCGCACCCUAUUAUCUUGUUUCGGAGAUACAUAUCUGGAACUUCUCCUGAACAUGUCAAAAACAUAACCUAAUUGACGACUCUGUUUGACAAAUGAACAAAUGCUGUAGAAAAGAUAAAAAAAUAUAUUAAAAUAUUAAGAAAUCGUAUAUAUUACAUUUUAUUGAGACACAAUUACAUACACUUAUUUGUCCGGCAAAACAUAAAAUUAAAAUGAAUCGCAACAUUUGUCGCUGACUAAAUCUAUGGGUGGUACCCCAUUGACUUUUGUGCAUUUGAUUCUCUUUCAAUGUUGCUCAAUUUCUCGAACUCUUGCAUCCUUUCCACAAAAUGGUUUGACCAGUCUCAGCUUUUGUUGUUGAAUGAACUGCCCACUCCAGUGAUGUAAGUGGUAUAGGGCAUCCCGAUUUCAAGUAAACUUGAAAAAAAUGCCGUGAUUUUGAAAGACACCCGAUACACAUAAUACAAUCAUUUGGAUUUUUAGGUGAGGCAGUGCACAAUAGGAAAAAGGUUUCUGAAAAAUUGUAUCAUGUAAGAUCAAUACACACUCUAUCAUACGCACAUGCUAUGAGGUGACUCAUUUUAGGGAAACACAUCCAUUUUGCCUUCAGUGCCGGUCCACUAAGGCAAGGAACAAGAGACUCAUAAACUUCAUUGAAGUUUUCUUUCUUUUUGUAUAGUCGUAUGUAUGAUUCUUUAUGAGUCCUCAACUCAUGGAUAAUUUGAUGAGAGACAAGUGUAUGAUUAUCUUCUCAUUUACCGAGUUAAGCCGAAAUAAUUCGAUAACCGCAAUUACCUCCCCCUUCAAUAUUGACGAUCCGCUUGAUUUAUUUGUGCAUAAAAAGCGACAUCUAGUCAAUGAAUGAAAUCUUUGGCGGAGGCGGCGAAGGAUGUGCUUUGCUAAUUCGAGCUCCUUUGAAAACAUUUUUUUUUGAAAUUUUGGAGUUGGCGAGUCCUAAAAACAUUGUCAACAUCUUCAAAAUACGAAAGAGACUGCACCAUUAAAGUGUCACUCAAUGUAGGCUUGAGCUUCUUCGGAGCACCUUUUGUUUUUACAGGUUGAGAUGAUGGUUUUAAAUCGGUAGUUUCCGGAUAAGCAAUAUUUCUUAAUUUUUCUUUGAUGUGGAUUAUCAUGUUGUCAUUGAAUUUCAAAAAUCUAUCUUGUAUCACUUCCCAUUCCGUCAAGAUAGAGAUAUUCGAUUUACCGUCUUUCGUGACACCAUCAUCACCAAGUCAAGAAUUGUGCUCUCAGCAUAUUUCAACAAAUCAGGAUAUUUUUCGCACACUUUUCUGAAAUGCAUAACGGAAAUGGCAUAUAAUUCUUUAGUGGAAAAAUUUACUAUACGGUUACAUGCAUCUAUUAUUUUUUUCACGAUCACAUCCACCUUUACCAUUUUCCAAUCUUCGGUCUUUAUCUGUUUCGUCCUUACCGCGAGUUUAGCCCGGUUUCUCACAUUCUUUGUCAUGUGAUGCCUACAAAGUAAUGUAUAAGAAGUAUGAAAUACCUUCCCAAUCGAAUUCAUCAAGCCGGUAUCACGGUCGCUAACAAUCACUUUAGGCAUGUCUUCUUGGUCCUUCAACAUUUCCCAACACACCUCUAAGGCCUAAGUAACAUUCUCCUCUUUUUCUCUAUCUAGAAAUGCAAACCCGACAGAAUAGGUCUUCUCAGUUGAGGGAACACCAACCAGCUCCAAUAAUGGAAAUCUAUACUUGUUGGUCUUGUAUGUUGAAUCAAGUAUGAACACAGUAAGAAACAUGUUGAAUAACUUGACAAAAUCAAGAUGAGUCCAAAAUAUAUCUCUAACAGUAACUCAAUCCUCGCAUGUUCAGUACCUAGACACAUAACUAUUAUCAUCCAACAGUUUCGAGAGUUGUUGCAUUUUAGUUCUAUCCCCCCUCAUCGCCUUGUUAGUUUGGUACCAAAUAUUGUACACUUGCUUGAUAUUUGAGAUAUUUUCGGGUCUUUUACGUUUCAAAGUUGCAAGUAUAUUUUUCGAUUGAACCAAAUUCAAUAUCAUGUCAGAAACACAUUCUUUCUCUUCUGGCAUGAGGCGACACACAACAGGGAUGGCCGACCAACUCUUCACAUAAAUCAUGGUUAUGUAAACCACAUACGACAUUAAAUCUCCAUUUAUUGCUUGCCAACAUAUAUCCCUGCACCUUAAAGGGACACUCACAUUUUUUUGAACCAGUGUCGUCUCGUUUAAAAUUCCGGAGAAGAGGUCUAUAUUUCACGUUUCUUUUGCACGUAUCGUCAUAAAAACACAUAUUCUAUCUGAACCACUAUCGGGUUUUCCGAUAACCACACCAAAUCCCAGUUUGGAGGCCUCCGUAUGAAUCCAUUGAAGCAUGUGGUCACGAAAUUCAAACUCUUGCCUAUUUUUAAAUUGAUUGCCAAUAUCUACCGUCUUCACAACAACACCUUUGACGUUGUGAGACACAACUUGUUUGAGAAAAACAUCAGGGAUACACCAUAUCUAAUGAAAACAAUUACCACAGAACAGUAAAUAAAUGCUAAUGAUGUAAACAUAGUUGAAAAAAUGAACACAGACUGAUAUCGAAGAUGAAUCUUCAGAUGGGUUCAUACUUGUUUCGAAAAUGUAUCUUCGGAAUAAACACACGUUUUUCAGACAGAAAACAAGCUUAAUAUGAGCAAUAAGGAUUUAAAUAAAUGAUCUUUACUUGGAAUUCCAAUUUCUUUUACUUCAUUUGAUGUGAUGAAACACAAGAUUGAAGAUUUGAAGUGAAAUGUGUAUUGAGAAUAGAAGGGUUUUUGGUGAGGGUUUUGAGUGAAAAAUAAGUAUGGUUGUAUGAUCAUGUAACUCCGUGUUUUAUCAAAUUAUUCCGUAGGUGCAUCUCUGGAAAUAUCUGACAUGAAAAUUGUGAAGAUGCAUCUCCAAUUUUUUUUAUAGUAUUAAUCUAGGGUAACACUCAUUUGGUGCGCCAUAACGUUGGUUCAUGGUGCGUCCGGAGAUGCAUCUCUGAAAUAUGAGGGGUAUUUUAGUAUUUUUAUGUGGUGCGUAAUUAACAUAUAGAGGAAUUAAGAAAUUCCCAUUUAUUUAUAGGUAGCAUGCCUUAUUUAUUCACUAUUACAAAAAACACAUAUAAUAACAGUUGCGAAACACAUAUAAUGACAGUUGCACGUCCAUUGGUAGGUAGUGUGUGAUUGUAUGUAUGUUGGUUUCUACAAAGGGCGUGUGACCGUGGUUAUAAACUAGGUAAUUCACUACCUAUCACAAUAGUUAUAUUAAACAACCAUUGUGAUAUAUAUUUAGGUCAUGAGUUCGAAACCCAACAACAAUAAUUUAUUUGGAAUAUAAUUAACAUUUCAUCACGGUUACAGAAGACAAACUUAAACGAACCACUGUUUUUCAAAUUGCAUUCAUACUGUUUUUCAAAUUGCACUGUUUUUCAAAUUGCAUUCAUGCUGUAACUCAUCUCUUAUUACUUAACACAUAGUAUUUGAUUCAAUUCCCUGAGUUGACUAAUUCAUAAUCAUCAUCAUCGCUAUCAUCAUCAUUAUUUUAAUUAAUGAUGAAGAUUAUUAUGAUAACAUCAAUGAAGAAGAUUCAUUUUGCCAACAAAUUUGAUGUUUUGCAAUAUAAAUUAAUAGAGAAUGAACCGUUACUUUGAAGAACUUGAGGCAAUAAACCAAGUUCUACGUGUUAAAGGGCGAUAAAUGAAUUAUGAGAUACAUGCAAUUAGGAAAACGUGUUUGAUCAAAGUUGCAUUUCAAAUAUAACUUAAUUUUCAAACUUUUAUUUUCUAAAUCACUUUAAAUAAAUUCAUGUUCAAUGAAGGAUUAGUGAAACAAAUAAUCUACGUACAUUAUAAUAAACUCAACAACAACAUACAUCAACAAUAAUAACAUUUAUCAACAACAACAACAUACACUUAUCAACAAUAACAACACAAACUAUUUAUGAACAACAACAACAACAACAAAAUACAUAAACAUUUAUCAACAAAAUAACAACAACAUACCUUUUAUUGAAAAGAUUUGUGCAAUAAUCUGAAGUUGGUCUACUUUGUGUUGCUAUGAAGAAAAAAUACAAGGCGAAUGGAGAUUCCAAAAUAACUUCAUACUUCUUAUAUUUUUUUCUCCAUAGCAACACAAACCAUUUAUGAACUACACCCAUAGUAUGAGUUCACUCGAACCAGAUUUUGAAAUAUAAACAACUUUCAAAAUGUUAAACUGUUUUGAAAACAUAAACUAACAUUAACAUAAACGGAAACAUGACCCAAAAAGAAAGUAAAUCAUGUCAAAUGAAAAAACACUUUUUAAGAAGAACUAGUGUCAUACAUGGAAUAGAUAUGAAAAAUGUAAGAAAGCUAAUGGAAAAGAUUACCUUUUAGGUUGAAGAAGAUUAUCAGGACGGGUUCGUUGCAUUGGAAGAGAGAAAUGUUAGGAUUUUGUUUUGAGAAAAAAAGGAAGAAAAUAUAUCAAUAGCAUGGAAGAAAACACAUGAAGAAGAAUAUGAAAGAGAAAGCGGAUGAACUUGAUUACCUUUAAGUUUGAAGAUACUAAUGAGGACAAGUUCGAUGCAUAAAGAGAAUGUUGUUAGAGUUUUGUUAAGAGAUUCCCGGCUAUUCUGAGGGAAAGGUUGAUAACUUCGCUUAUAUAACAUAUCACCACAGCUGUUAAAAUAAAUCGUGAUAAUAUGCAAGUAAUAUUCACAACAGUUUUUGGUAUUAACCGUGAUGAUAAAUAUUUUUAUUUGAAUAUAUUUAUAAGAGUAUACUAACAACCCCUUUUUGUAACAAAAAAAAAAGAAAAAAA
rnacentral:lncRNA from 1 species